UCCAUCAACUUGUCUUGCUCACUAUGCUUAAGGUUAGAGAAGAACAAAUACACUUUUGGUUCUGUUGGUGUUUUCCACCAACAGGGCCCAUGCACUUGAUCUCUGCCUUGUCUCUAUGAGCAGGUACACUACGAGCACAAACACACUGAGCAAGAUACUGCUAACACCGCACUUCGAACUGCUGGGCAAACGAAGAACAUGGGUGAGACACCGUAUUAAAAGGUGCAGACGUCAAGGUCCGCACCUGAAUCAAAUGACGCACCUGAAGAAUGAACACGGUGAGAAGUCUUGUCAAGAAGACUUAAAACAUUGAACCCUCGCCGAAAGGUAAGAUUGGUAGUUAUCCAUAUUUAUCCUUUCUGCAUUCCCUUUUCCCUUUAAUUAUUUACUUUCCAUAAAUAGAUUAUUAGUUAAUCAUGCUAUCUUGAAAAGAAAAUAAAAAUGUUAAAAAAAUACUAAGCCCCAUGUGAGUAUACGAGUGGCAUAAAACCCAUAAGUACCUUCACUGUGGUGGCAUAAAAAUAAAUAUUUCUUUUUUACUUUAUAAAAUAAAAAUAUAAAAACAGGGAGUAAUAUUUAUUGAGGAAGCUCAACGUGAUGAAGGCUAGAUAUUUAUGCUAACACUUAAUUAGUUCCACAAGCUUUGUUGUCUAUUUGAGCUCCACAAAAUUUAAGAAUCAAGAAGACUAGCAGAUGGAGGACAUUCUAAUCGCUGUCAGAAUGCUGCUGACUUUCAAAUACACCUCUGCCACCUGCUAGCUACAUCAAGAGAAAUUACGUCAAAAUUCAGCUUGGGGGAGAGCACCCCUAUUUAUCUCACUAAGUAUUUCUACCUAUCUUUAUACUUAUAUUAUAUUAGAAUAUUAAAAUACAUAAACUAUGAAAAACCAAAAAAAAAAGAUUUUAUGCUUAUAUAUAUAUAUAUAUAUAUCUUUUCUUGGUUUGCUAAAUAAAUAAAUAAAUAAAUAAAGUUUGCUAUGAAUCUUAAUAAUAAAACUCUAGCAUGGAUAUGAUGAAUAGUUGCUCUGCCUAAUUUGCAAAUUUAAAGUUCUCUCUCAAGUUUAGACAUAACUGUUAUAAUUUAAAGCUUGCUCUAGAUCUAAACUUGUGGGAUGAAAACUUGAUCUGAAAUCUAAGUUGUUAACGGAUAAGAUAUGGGAAGGUUGAGCUGCUGUUUAUCUGUUUCUAGAGAUGCUAGAAUUCUGGAGAAUUUUAUCUUUGAAAAUCUUUAAAAUGUUGCAUGAUGAGUUCCUGUAUGAUGAGAGUUUAAAUUCCUACCACAGCCAUAUAUACAUGCUUGCUAGACUUUGAGCCACACAUUUAUUUACUGCUUAUGAGCAUUGAGUGUGGUCAAGCUGUGUAGACCCUUAGGAGCUUGUCAUGUGGUUAAAUCAAGAUUCACUUGCACGUUCACUCAUAUAUGCUACUUCUACUCUGGAAGUACCAUCCACAUAUAUCCAUCCAUUUCCAUCUCCAGUUUCACCCAAAAUCAUUCUACUCCUAAUCCGGGAGAGAAUAGCCAAAAACAUUUUCCUAUCCCUGUUAUUCCCUGUGAAAUAAAUGCUCCAGUUAUUUUGGUUACUACCACUUGCUACAUUAUUUCAGGAGAUGAGUGCUCUAAAAAAAAGAUAAGAAAAGAAAAAAAAAUAUAAUAAUAAACGAGGAAAUAAAAAGGGGCAAGUGCCUGGAACCUCGAAAGAAAAGAAAAAGUGAGACGAGAGGUAAAAAUGGACAAGUGUCCGACAGUAGAAUUAGGGGUACAAGAUACCCACCUGAGAGGAAAGAAAAAGAAGAGCAUCUCAUUCUCCUCAUAAAGUUUCAAAAAGCAAGGAAGGUAUGUAUCCCCUCAUAAGAGCAAAAGUAGAAUUAGACUUUCACCAUUAUUAUCACCAUCAUCAUUAUACACCAUUCAUUCGCCACACAUGCACAUCUUGAUUUGGCUUAUUGAUUUGUUUCUUUGGAUCCAUGGUUUGACUAUACAAUAAAUGUCUUGUAAGUAUGUAUAUUUUAUCUCCCACCUAUGAGCUCCAGAUAUUAAAGCCUUAUUAGAGUAGGGUGGGAGAGAAGGCAAUGUCACUAUGCCUUAUACCACAAAUACCACAUAUUUUGAGAGAAGGCAUAUACCAUCACUGCCUUGGUAAGGAUCCAGAAAUACCACAAAAGAGAGAUAUGAGAGAGUCAUACAAAGGAAUCUCUGAGUUUUAUUUGGAAAUCUGCAAAAACUCCAGAGCUAUAGCUGAUCAAGAAUAAGCGACAUGGCACUUGACUGGACUGUUCUAUCUUUUAACCACUCAAGACAGAAGUGACGGUUACAAGUCCCAUGGUGAAACAUAAAGUAAGUAAGUUUUAAGUCUUGAUAGUUUACUCUAACUCAGAGAUGAGACCUCAUUUAAAAGCAUGUGUACCGUCAAAUUUUAAAGAUAUUGCAACAACUUAUGAUCCAUAGCUGAGUCUAUCCUUGCUCAGGGACGAGCAAGAGGUAAGCUUGGGGGAGUUUGUUGACGGUCCUUAAGUAUUAAAUUUAACUAUCAAAUAAACAAAGAAAAGGAUCCAAAUGAAAUCAACAUCGAGACUUAGGGUUUUAUCUGACAGAAUUCCACGAGUUUUGGUAUUUGUCUAUUUUUGCAGGGUGUUAUCAGGAAAUAAGGAAGAAAGGCCCACACGUCGGGAUUACAUAGAGAUAUCAACGUGCCGCGCAAUUAUCUUACAUCUAGAAGACUCCAGAAGCCACGGGAAGGAAGCGGAGACCGAACGGAGUCAGGGACAGGGCGCCCGCCCAAGUCCUUAGGGCGCCCGCCCAUCUUUUUCGGCCAAUCACGCUCAAUCUCGCGGAUUAUGCUCCACCGACCUAAAGGAUCAAGAAUAACCGUUCAAUCAAUGUCGGUUUGAUCCGACGGCCCAGGUUCACUUGAGGGGACUAUAAAACCAGACCCCCUGGCCCCUGGAGGAGGCACCCCUUGAUCAUUAUUCAUUAUUCAUAGACAGAACAAAAGCUAGGGUUUAGAGAUGAGAGCUCUCCUCUCUUCUCUAAACUAGAGUAGAUCUAGAUAGUAGCGAGAUGGAGAGUGAAGGAGGAUUAGAGGAGAGGCCGGCCUAUCGGUUCUUCCUCCGGUUGUACUUCGCCAUGAUCAAGCUCUAAUCAAGCUUGCUCAUAGGAUGACUCUGGUAAUCUACUUCUAAUUCAUUAUGCAAUUACUAAUCAUGUAUGUUCUGGUUCACAACUCUUUUGAGUACUUCUAAUCUAUAGGACCCUAUAGGUUAGAGUUGUAGUAUAGGUGUAAGCGUGGUGCUUAGACCUAGAUUACUUGUGGAUAUCCCCUGACUAGCUGGAUCGUGUGGUAGGCCACGUAGGUGACAGUUACGUUGGUCCCCUGUAGUCCACCUCUCGUUAGCAGGACGGGUAGGGUUUAUCGGCCUAUGGAUAAGCAUCCUUUGUGGUGUACUCUUAUCACGUGGUUCGUCCCAGACAUAGACAUACCCCUUUGAAGUAGAGAAACCAUAGUUAUCCUCUCUAUUCUGCUACCAUCGCCCAUAUACUAGAAUUGCUCUACUCUCUAUUCCCAUAUUAUCACCUAUUGUUAUCUUACCUUUAAUAUUGUUCUUAUUCGAUUCUAUCAUCUUUCCUAUUUACACCUAUCUAUCUAUCUUGGUUAAGUUAGAGCGUAGUUGGUUCUCCCGUUUCCCUGUGGAUACGAUAAAACCUUUAACCGGGUAAAAGCUUCAACGGUAUCCGUGCGCUUGCGGAUUAUCUGUGUGCGUAUAAAUACCAUAGUACACUCUAGUGCCAUGCUGGGGAUGACAACCUAGUAUUCAAGUGGUGUUAGCAAGUGUCAACAACUUCCCAGGUCGAUAUUAAAAGUUUUCCUGCAGGGUUAGUCCAACAAAAUAUCCAAUAUCUACUAUAGGAUACUAUCGGCUCAAAAAUCAACCUAGACACCAUGUCUAAUUUGAUUUAGGAGGGCAUUUUAACCUAAGCACCAUGCUUAAUUUAAAAUCCCUUGGAAGUAAGAUCAUCAUUCCUAAACUAAGCACCAUGCUUAAUUAAGAUAUAAAUGAAACUGCUCCAAACCUAGACAUAUACUAAAGCAAAUAGAGGUAGCAUGCGAGCAUUUAUAGAGAUCUACUCAAGUGGAGAUGAAGUAGAAUGAUUAGUGUUUAACAAAUUGAACAUGUCUCAAAGGUAGGGACAACCAACAUAGCAACAUGGCAAAGGAUGUUUUUAUGUGAAGUACUCCCCCAAGCUUGAAUUUUGCAAAAUUCAAGAUUGGAUGAAUUUAAUUCAAUGUUGCAUGAUGAUUGGUUGGACAUACCUUGUGCUUGUCAUUCAUCCAAUCUUCUUGCUCCAAUCCUGGAAAGGUUAGUGACAAGAAUAUCCGAAGGAAUAUUUUUACAAUUAUCCUUAUAUGCUCAACACACAAGGUAAUGUUGCAAAUAAUUAAAAGCUCAUGUUGCAAUCUGAUCAGUGCUUGUUUUAGGACACUAAGCUUGUCCUUGGGAAACCAUCAAUUUAUGUCGGCGAAGUGGUUUCCCCUCCAACGCUGACCUAUAUCAAGAUCAACUCAACGAGAUCUGCAAUAUUUAAUAUAGACAUAUGCAUCGACAACCACCCUUUUAAAGUUUUUAUAAAUAGAAAUGAUGAGGGGGUUGGAGAUCUCGAAUGUGGUGAUGUUGGAAAAACCAAUGGAUUGGGAAAAUGUUGCAUAUGAGCAUGGAGUAAAUGAAGUGGCUAUGAAAUAAAUUUCAUGCUCAUUAAUGCUUAGAGUCAAAUCCAUGUGGUAUGGUGAAAAUGAUAAGGUGAGUGUGGUAAAAAAGGAAAAGAAAAAGGAUACACGGACGACUUGGUUCAAAACUAGCACAGCUACCGUUCCCCGGCAACGGCACCAGAAAGCUUGUUGGGUAUUUUAAACGCAAACAGAAAAAUCCGCCAGCGCACGGAUGCCGAUGUAGACUUCACCCGGGAGUAUUCCAAAGUAUCGAUUUUCCACAGUGAACUUGAGUGUACUAAUUAAGAUUCAAGAUCGCCCAAGGAUAACUAUAUAAUUAUUUUUGGUGGGAAGAGAGGAAGUUUCCUGAGAGUUCUCCAGUUGAUCUAAGACUCAAGAAUUACUUCAAGAUUAUCUAUUUCAGGACAUCAGAACACUAACCACAGAAAGAGAUGAGAAGGGGGCUAGGAAGCUCUCACUAUGGUCCUACAAACACCGAUCCGAACGAGGUGGAAUACGUCGACCGUUAGGGCUGUCACUACCAUAGGGCUACCACAACAAUCCGCAGGAUUGGGUGCAAUUCUAGGUAACUGCAAGACUAAACACCACGUCUAAUCUAUUAAUUACUACUCUAAUGUUUCAAAGAUUAGAGCACUUGAUGCAAGCGGGAAUCCAAUAAAUAACUUGAAUGUAAAUAAAAGUAAUUAAAGAACUCAGGAAUUAUGAAUUGAAGAACCUGGAGAACGAUGAAGAACGAACCAGAUGCUGCAAAAGUAUAAUGUUGAGGAAGAUCCGACAGAUCCGGCUCCUCCUCCGCUCUCCUCUUCUCUCUCCCUAUUUUCUAGAUUACAACUAGAACUAACUAGAACUAGAACUAGAGGAACUAGAACUAGAAGAACUAGAGGGAUCCUCUCUACUUGGAUGAAGAAUUGAAACCCUAGCUUUGAUUCUGUAGAAGAGGUAUGCUCUCCAGGGGCUAGGGAGCCUUGCUUAUAUAGUCUUUUCAGAUGAAUCUGGGCCGUCAGAUUAAACCGACAUUAAUCGCACGGUUUUCCUUGAUCCUUUGGUCGGUGGAGCAAAAUAUGCGAAACGGGUCCGAAUUGGACACUGUAGCUGGGCGGGCGCCCUGUCCCUGAGCCCUCUCGGCCUCCGCUUCGUUCCCGUGGCUUCUGGAGUCUUCUAGAUGAUUGAAAAUUGCACGGCACGUUAAUAUCUCUAUGUAAACCUGACGUGUGGGCCUUUCUUCGGUAUUUCCUGAUAACCCCUUGCAGAAAUAGACAAACACCAAAACUCGUGGAAUUCUGUCAGAUAAAACCCUAAGUCUAGGUGUUGGAUGCAUUUGGAUCCUUUUCUAUGAUUAGUUGAUGGUUAAAUAUGAGCAUUAAGGACCGUCAACACUUACCUGGAUGGAGGAGUAGUUGCCUCAUGUCCUUUCAUCAGGACCUCCCUAAGGUGUUGUAGAGGCCUUCUUGGGCAGAGGCACUAUUUUUCUCCUCCAUUUUUGCUUGGCUUUUGCCUUUGGUUUUGAUUUAGCCUUCUUUUUGGUGUGCGUCAGGGCAAUAAUUAUAGCCAGCUCUAUAGCCAAGAUCAUUGAGCACUGCUCAACUUUUGGCUUGAAGUUGAAUUUCUCCUGGGCCCCAUUGAUGGUGAAUUGAAUUUCUUCGGCUCCAACAUCAAUAUGUGCCUUGGCAGUGCUGAGGAAUGGUCUCCCAAGGAUGAGGGGGACCUUCUUAGUUGCAUCAAAGUUCUCUUUGGCCAAGAAACUUGUCUUCGACCAUGAGGAUCUCAAGUUGUCUCCAUGAAUGAUCUCAUGACUUACCCAUAGAGAUAUCGAUGUUCUUGCUGUAGGGGUUAGUCCAAAAGUGCAACCAAGUUCCAUGCAAGUAUGUUUGGUUCAAUAAUCAAACUUAACACCAUGUCUUGUUUGAUUAAGGUAGUCUAUUUAACCUAAGCACCAUGCUUAAUUUAAAAAGACUAUGGAGGUACUCACUCGAGCGAUUACUAUAACCAAACCAAAGCAUACUAACAUAGAAAGAGGGAGCAUGAUAGGAUGAACAAGAUUCAUUAUACUAGAGACAAGAUAAUGAGUGAUGAAGACAAGAGGCAAAUAUUUUUUCUUUUUAUUAUUAUUAUUUUUUAAAUUUAUAUAUGCAAGGCAAUGCAAAGUGGAGGAUGAAUGCAUUUAAACAAAUAUGUUGUGGUUAAAAUAAAUGAGUGAUAUGCAUGAACAUCUAGGCUUUAGCUUUUUCCUAUGGCGUGGCCCAUCCAAAGGACAUCAUCAUACCGACUAUUAAAGCCGAUAUAUGAGCCAGGAUGUUCCCGUUUAACAUUCGACUACCACAAGCUAGAUUAGGAGCCCGAAUAGGUAGACAACAAUAAAAUUGCUGUCUAUCUAGACUAGGCAUGAUGCCCGAAUACAACUCAAUGACUAGGAGCUGUUGACGGUCCUUAAGUACUAAAUUUAACCAUCAACUAAACAUGGAAAAGGAUCAAUAUGCACCAAACAUCUAGAAUUAGGGUUUUAUCUGACAGAAUUCCAUGAGCUUUGGUGUUUGUCUAUUUCUGUAGGGGGUUAUCAGAAAAUAUGGAGAGAAGGCCCACAUGUAUAGUUUACAACGAGAUAAUUACCUGCCGCACAAUUUUCCUCAAUCAAGAAGAGUCCAGCAGCCACGGGAACGAACGGGAGGCAAGGUGACCAAUCAGGGCAGGUCUCACGGAUCGUGCUCCACCGCCUCUAAUCUUCAAGAAUAACUGUGCGAUUAAGGUCGGUUUGAUCCGACGGCUCACAUUCAUUUGAGGGGGCUAUAUAAGCAAGGCCUCUCCACCCCAAGGGGAGAGGAGAAAUCAUUAUCAGAGGAAGCCAUCAAAGUUAGGGUUUUAGAACUUCUCUCUCGCAGAGAAUUAGAAUUAGCUACUCACAAUUCCUUCAAGUUCUAUAGGAUUGAUUAGAUAGAAUUAGAGAAGUAGAGCCUAGCGCUCUGGAUUCGGAUCUUCAUCAAUAAAGAUUGGUAUUAUUUCAUAUCUUUCUCUACUACUUUAUUCUAAUUGCAUUAUGUCUAUAUUUAUUAUGUUCUUAGUUUGCUCUAGUUCUAUAUUUGAUAUAGUUAUGAUUGAUAAUGAGUUUAUGUAUAAGUUUGCAAAGCGCUUAGCUAUUGACUUGAGGGAGUUAAGUGGUAGAUCAUAUGUGGGUGUGGUGCUUAGAUAUUAUUUACCUGCAAAUGUAUCCUAUUGGCUGGGACGUGUGGUAGUUAGCGAUGGUGACAGCUUCGUUCAUUAUUAUAUAGUCCACCCUCCGUUGAUAGGACAGGCAGAAUUUGUAUUGCGGAGUAAGUAUUGCUAUGUUCUGAUUUACUUUAGCAAUGUUCCUUAUACAUGAAUAAAGCGUCUUUUGUGCUAUAUAUGAUCUUGUAGAUAACUAGAGUAGAUUGUGACUUAGUAGAUAGUAGAUACUCAGAAUCCAUUCUCUAGCUAAUCCGAUGUCACCUUACAUUUAUGUGGAGUAGUCUAUUUCUAAUCGUUGUGUUAUUUACCCAUGAGCUUAUAUUUCAUUAUCUUUAUUAUUAUGGGUUACCCCCUGCCAAAGCAACUGACUGUGUGACGAGUUCCUCAUUAGUAAUCAUGUUAUUGCAAGUUUAUCUCUAGUCUAUGCCUUGAUACAUUUUACCCCUGUUUUCACUUUCGCCGUUCUCUUAAGCAAAAUAUAAAUAACGAUACCCGGAAUACUUUUCCUGGUGAAAUCCUACAAUGAGGUAUUUUAUCUGUGCGCUUGCGGAUAGAAUAGAUUAUUUUCUAGAGAGCCUCUAUAUUCAUAAAUACCUUUGUACACUCUGGCACCAUGCUGGGGAUGACAACCUAGUAUCCAAGUGGUGUUAGUAAGUGUCAACAAGCAUUUCUGGCGCCGUUGCCGGGGAGCGGUAAGGAAAGUCAGGAAAUCAGUCAAGGUUGUUCACAUAAAAAUAUUCGACUAGACUAUGGAGAAAUAAUUGCAUAAACAGCUACUAAAUGAGAAAUCAUAACAAGGCACCUCUGCUUUGGCAGGUUCACCCUGUUGUUUUUCUAUGUUUAUAUUUUUUAUACAGGGUGUAUCAGGAUUGACUUUGGUACAUUCAACUCUUCAUCAUCAGAACCAAAGCAAUCAAGAAAGAAAGAAGAAGCUACCUACCAAUUGCUGAAGCUGUGGCACAAAAGACCUUGCAAGAAUUCUCUGCUCCAAGUCUUGAGAACAUUCCAAUUGGUCCAAGAUUUGAAGUAGAAGAAGGAGCACCCGAGUUCGAGCUCAAGUCGAGCCUCAUCAAUUUGGUGCAAGCUACAAAAUUCAGUGGAAGGGCACAUGAAGAUGUCAGUGCACACUUACAGAAUUUCUUAGAGAAUGGAAGCACAAUCCGCAUCAACGGAGUCGAUAAAGACAUCAUACUGCUUCGCCUCUUUCCAUUCUCACUAGAAGGGAAAGCGAGGAAGUGGUUCAACACCCAUCAAGAUAACAUCAACAACUAGACGAAUUUGUCACAUGCCUUUCUAGCAAAGUUUUUCCCUAUAGGCAAAACAACUGCCUUAAGAGGAAAUAUUGUCAGAUUCCAAUAGCAGAAGACAGAAACCAUUCCAGAAGCAUGGGAGCAUUUUCAAGGAUACAUAUCAGAUUGUCCUCACCAUGGAAUGGCCAAAUGGUUACUUAUGCAGACCUUCUACCAUGAAUUAACCCAAAAGGCUCGUGAGUGCCUAGAUGCAUCUGCUAAAGGAUCAUUCUUGGAGCUUACAAUUGGAAAAGCAGAGACGCUUUUGGAUAAGAUAUCAGAAAAUCAAAGCUGGUUCCAAGAUAAAGCUCAGCAUUGUCAUCAGACUGAACAAAUACGAGAAGAAGUAAAUGCACUAUCAAGCAAGAUGGAAAAUUUGCUCCAUUGGAUUGACCAGAGGGCCAAGUUUAAGGAAGAUCAAAGGGCCAUUGAGACAGCAUACAAAUAUCAACCCACUUCGAGUCAACCCAAUAGCAAAGGUAUGAAUUCAGGUAACACUUUCAAGCAACUUUCAUUAAAAGAGAUAAUUGCUCAACAAACCAAAACUAAUGAUGAAGUUACACAAAGGCUAGAUAAAAAUGAAUUAUCUCUAAAAGAUAUACACGAUAAAAUGGAUUUUCUAUUAACUGCCUUUGAUGAGCAAAACAUUCUUAAUAAGAGGGUGGAGCUUAAAUUAAUAAAGCUAGCUGCUGCAUUGCCUGUUGCCACUAACAUUGAGCAGGUAAAGAACAUAACUACUAGAGGAGGCAAAGCCACCAGGGAUCCCCCAUACCCCAAAAAGAAAUAGAAAACAAAAGCAUCAGUGCAACCAGCAGCGAUAGAAGAAGAAAGCCCAAUUGAAGCAGAAGAUCUGCUACAACCACCAAGAGCUGGAGAAAUGAGGAAAAAUUUUUACGACACCAACUAUUUGCCAUUUCCCAGAAGAAACAGAGGACUGCAGUCGGAUGAGCAGUUUGGUAAGUUUGUAGAGGUCAUUCAGAAAUUAUAUGUCAACAUACCUCUGCUUGAUGCCAUACAGGUACCCACAUAUGCAAAGUACAUCAGAGAUAUUCUUAACAAGAAGAGACCACUGCCCACUACUGAGGUCAUCAAGCUAACAGAAGAAUGCAGUGCGGCCAUCCUCAACAAACCACCAAGGAAAAAGAAGGAUCCAGGAUGUCCCACCAUUGAUUGCUCGAUUAGAAACCAUGUUCAACAAUGCACUUUGUGAUCUCGGAGCAAGUGUCAGUGUGAUGCCAGCAUCAGUCUACAAGAAGCUUGAGCAUACAACCCUAGAACCAACAUCAAUGUGCCUGCAACUAGCAGAUCAGUCAGUUCGACACCCGAUGGGCAUCGCUGAAAAUGUCCUAGUCAAGAUCAGAGAUUUCCUUGUGCUAGUAGACUUCGUGGUACUGGACAUGAGUCCUGACUCAAAAGUGUCCAUCAUCCUUGGAAGGCCAUUUAUGAGCACUGCCAAUGCCCACAUUGAUGUCGGGAAAGGAGAAAUCAAGUUCAACAUAAACGGAGAAGAAUAACACUUCACAUUCAAGCCCAGACCAGAGAGAGACUCUACAGUGAAGGAAGUUCAUGAAGAAGAACCACUAGAGACACCAUCUCCAGAGGAAGGUAAUUCAGAAGAUUAAAAGAUUUUGAGGUCCGGCUUGGGGGACCUAAAAAUCCCAAACCCUCAACGAGAGGUAAAUCGGUAUUUAUCCACAUCAUUUAAAUUCUUGCAUAAUUAAUUCUUGCAUUAGUCAUAUUUAUUCAUAGAAUUAUUAUAAUAAUCAAAAGCCCCAUAUAAAUAAUAUUUAUGGUGUGUGACAACCCACAUUUAUUAAUUAUUGUGGAGGCACAAAAAUAUUUUUCCAUGUUCAUUUUCAAUAAGUUUCAAAUUCUCGUAGUUUUUCCUGUAUUUAAUUAUAGCAACCUUCUAGAAGCAUGACCCACAUUCCUUGGGUCCCACAUGUCAUACACCACACCUCACACACAUCCCAUCACAUUAUUUGAUCCACCAACAUAUCUCCACUCACCAGACAACUUCCACCGUCCAACCACCACCCAUGAGUCAUCUUUUGGGGUAAAGACUAAGCAAAGGAGGGAGUAGAGAAAGGGCAGCCAGGAUAGUGACUAGAAGUGGGCGCCUACCCACCUGCAGAGGGUGCCCACCCUGUCCCCCCUUCCUCCUAUAAAUUGCCACCUCCUGCCUCCAUCUCCAUCACACAAGCAUUCUAGAAAACCCACGCAGACUUCAGUUUUCGGUUUCUAGAGAAGAAGCUCUAGUAGUGAAGUGAGAAGGAGAGUAGAGGGGAAGAGAAGAGUGGAAGAGAGGUUGGUAGUUUUUGAGUGAGAACAAGGUCGAUUUAGUAAGUAGAGACCCUGCUGUCCAAAGCAAAAUUAAAAUGUUGUUUAGGGGGAAGUACCGCCAAAAUUAAAACUUGUUUCGGACGACUAACCCCUGAACGACUGACAUUUCAGACAGCUGGCCUUUAACAUUUUCCACUAGUUGUGUUUGUGUCAACUUUUGUCUACAGGAUGUUCAAGAAGGUGAAGAAUGCGGGCAAGACCCUCAAGAGCAUAGGUACAAGGAGUUCAUCCCGACUCUCCUCGCAUCAAUCGGAGAUGAGCGUCGACCCGACGCCCUGCAAGCUCCACCGUCUUCGUCAGGUAUGCGAGUCAAGGUCCUCCUCAAGAUAGGAGACCUUGGACUAAAGACCCGCAGGGAGAAGGAAGUUUUCUAGUAGCUAAAGAACAAGGAUUUCAUUCACACCCCCACUCUUGAUCCUAUCUUGCUACAAGAAACAGGUAUGGAUACCGAAUUUGACUUGAUUUUCCAGAUGGUGGAAUGGACAAACUUUUGGGACAUAACUAAGCUAGGUUCCCAUCUUCUCACCCUUGAAUUUCUUUGAACUUUGCAAUAUUAUGAGGGGGGAAUCGCUUUUCGGAUGUUCAAACAGGACAUUAUGUUGUCUUAGAGAGAAUUGAGAGACCAUCUCGGUUUCUCUUCAAGAUGCAUCCUGGACAUUGACUCCGACUUACCCAAUUUUGAGAGGCACUAGUUCUGGAGAGAGAUAUCUAGAGAUGAGUUUUAUAGUCAAGCCCAAACCAGCGACAUGGAACACCCCACUCUUAGGAUGUUCCACAAAUGGCUCGGGUACAAUCUUUUCCAUCGUGAUGAUAUUAGGAAAGUAAGAGUAGGAGAUUUACAACUUCUUUAUGUCGCCAUAAACAAAAUACCCACUUCACCUAUUACUCUUUUAGUUUCUCAUUGGCUUAGUAUACCUAGUCUUCAGGGACCUGUCGGUUGUACUUCACUCAUCACUCGUCUAGCUUCUAGUCUUAAUUUACUAGAAAACUCGUCAUUGGAAUUCAUUGACGAGUUACGAAUUUAUCAUGGCUAUGACACAUUUAGGCAAGCUCGGAUGCUGAAAAAAGAGGGGAACGUAAUGUAUAUGUUAUACGAUAAUAAAGGCAAGAUUCGGUUACCUAACCUGAACCUUGGUCUCUAUCUCGUUCAAAAUUAUUUGAUUGAGAUUGCAGUGGCACCGGUAAAUCAGAGAGCUCCACAGCGAGUGGCAUCCGAAAGGAUGACCACCCAUCAAGAACGCACCUGGUAUGGAGCUGAUUAUGGGCCGAAAGAAGCUGCGCACCUGCAUUAAUGCGACUACAACCCCCGAGUCCUUCGGGACCCAUGGGUUCGACAUGCUCAGCCGCAGGAGCCGACACAGGAGACAUGGCCGGAGGGCCAAGAUCACCAGUGGGCAAACCCGCCUUUUGGUGCGGGGAGGUACUCCACUGAUCCAUAUGGAGCUUCAGGGUCUAGGCCCCGGCCCCAAUUCGAUGCAGGACGGUACUGUGACACCUCUUAUGCUUUCACGAACGACUACUACCAAGACGCCGGCGCCUUCUUCACCCGUACCGACAACACCCUCCUCGACAUCCAGAAUACGCAAGCGGAACAUGGACGACUCCUGGAAGAACAGCAGAAAUGGAACCAGGACCACACCGCUGCAGUACAAGAACUGAGGCAAGACACUACUUCAAUAAACGACAACAUCACCACCAUGAUGCGAUUCUGGAACAUUGGGUAAGACUGACAACCGCAUCCAGCUUGGGGGAGUUCCUCCCUGUUUUAUCAAGUAAGUUUUUAUUUGUUCUGCUUAUUUAUUCUUUUUUGUUUUAUUUAUUUCAAAAAAAAUCAAAAUCAUCAAUAAAUAUUUUCUUGCUUUAAUUUACUGCAUUCUAUGAACAUGAAAACAAAAUAAAAAGAGUGUGUGGAUAAGUGUGCUUUAUUUAUCUGCUAAGUGUUAAUCUCUAGAAAAAUAAAAAGUCCAAAAAGAUGCAUAAUGAAAAUGAUGAACAGUUGCUCUGUUUGCUUACUUUCAAGUACCUAGCUUUUACAUUAGAGUUCUCCCAAGAAUUACUAAAACUGAAAUUUACUAUCUAUGGGAAGCAUAAACCUAAAACUAAAGUCUAGGUAAGAGACAGACAUGAUAUAAAGUUUGAGCUGCUAUUUAUCUUGUUCCUACUACACUAAGUUCUGGAGAUUUAUUUUGAAAACUUAAAGAUCACAUGAUGAGUUCCUAGCAUGACAAAAUUCCUACCACAGCCAUACUUGCUAUAAUUUCUACAUCUUUUGCUACUUAUAUUCACAUUGAGUUUGAUCGAGCUAUGUAGACCCUUAGGAGCAUUUCAUGUGGUUAAAUUAAGAUAUUCACUUGCACACAUCUACUACACCAUCCACCACCAUUCAUUAAAAUUACUAAAAAUAUUAUUACUCAUUGUCCCAAGUGUUGUUAUUCUCUCUCUCUGAAAAGAUUCAAUGCAGAAGAGGCAUGGGUUAUGCAAAAAUAUGCGAGGAAAUAAAAAGGGGCAAGUGCCCGGAACCUCGAAAAAGAAAGAAAAAGAGUGAGACGAGAGGUAAAAAUGGACAAGUGUCUGGAGUAGAAUUAGGGGUACAAAGAUGCCCACCUGAGCGGAAAAAUGGACAAGUGUCUGACAGUAGAAUUAGGGGUAUUCACUACCCACCUGAAAAAAAGGAGAAAGAAGGAAAAGAUAGCCCAUGUUCUCUCGAAGCAAAGAUCAAAGAGGAGGAGAGAUAGCAAUAUGAGGAGCAAUGAGAAGUAAGUUUUACCAUUACUUAUAUUUUCAACAUUACUAUCAUUUACUCCACCACACAUGCACAUCUUGAUUUAAUUACAUGUUGAGUUCCUUUGGAUCCAUGGCUCGAUUAGACAACAUAUGUAUGAGCUGUUUUUCACACCUAUGAGCUCCACAUAAACAUUCCCUUAGUUAUAGGUAAGAGACAUUUUUCGUAAGGAUCCACAAAUACCAUAUGUAGAGAUAUUUGAGAGUAGCAUAGCUGGGAACUCUGAGCUUUAUUUUUAAAAACAUAUGCAAAACUCCAGAACAAUGGUGAAGUAUAGACACGAAGAAUAGUGCUUGACUUAAUUAUUUUGUCUUUCGAUUACUAGACUUAAGUGCAGGUACUAAGCUCCAUGAAACUUCACUCUAAUCUGGGAGAAUUUUUAUGUGAAAGCAUGUGUGCCUGUCAGGAAAGAAAACAUCGAAGCAACUCCUGAUCCAUCUGAGUUUAGCUGUUUGCUCAGGGACGAGCAAAGGGUAAGCUUGGGGGAGUUUGUUGACGGUCCUUGAGUAUUAAAUUUAACCAUCAACUAAACAUGGAAAAGGAUCAAUAUGCACCAAACAUCUAGAAUUAGGGUUUUAUCUGAUAGAAUUCCAUGAGUUUUGGUGUUUGUCUAUUUCUGCAGGGGGUUAUCAGAAAAUAUGGAGAGAAGGCCCACAUGUCAGGUUUACAACGAGAUAAUUACGUGUCGCACAAUUUUCCUCAAUCAAGAAGAGUCCAGAAGCCACGGGAACGAACGGGAGGCCGAUCGGGCCUGGGGGCAGGGCGCCCGCCCUCCCCCCUUGGGCGCCCGCCCUACCCUGGUGACCAAUCAGGGCAGGUCUCUCGGAUCGUGCUCCACCGCCUCUAAUCUUCAAGAAUAACCGUGCGAUUAAAGUCGGUUUGAUCUGACGGCUCACAUUCAUUUGAGGGGGCUAUAUAAGCAAGGCCUCUCCACCCCAAGGGGAGAGGAGAAAUCAUUAUCAGAGGAAGCCAUCAAAGUUAGGGUUUUAGAACUUCUCUCCCAGAGAAUUAGAAUUAGCUACGCCCAAUUCCCUCAAGUUCUGUAGGAUUGAUUAGAUAGAAUUAGAGAAGUAGAGCCUAGCGCUCUGGAUUCGGAUCUUCAUCAAUAAAGAUUGGUAUUAUUUCAUAUCUUUCUCUACUACUUUAUUCUUAUUGCAUUAUGUCUAUAUUUAUUAUGUUCUUAGUUUGCUCUAGUUCUAUAUUUGAUAUAGUUAUGAUUGAUAAUGAGUUUAUGUAUAAGUUUGCAAAGCACUUAGCUCUUGACUCGAGGGAGAUAAGUGGUAGAUCAUAUGUGGGCGUGGUGCUUAGAUAUUAUUUACCUGCAAAUGUAUCCUAUUGGCCAGGUCGUGUGGUAGUUAGCGAUGGUGACAGCUUCGUUGAUUCUUAUAUAGUCCAGCCUCCGUUGAUAGGACAGGCAGAAUUUGUAUUGCGGAGUAAGUCUUGCUAUGUUCUGAUUUACUUUAGCAAUGUUCCUUAUACAUGAAUAAAGAGUCUUUUGUGCUAUAUAUGAUCUUGUAGAUAACUAGAGAAGAUUGUGACUUAGUAGAUAGUAGAUACUCAGAAUCCAUUCUCUAGCUAAUAUGACGGCACCUUACAUUUAUGUGGAGUAGUCUAUUUCUAAUCGCUGUGUUAUUUACCCAUGAGCUUAUAUUUCAUUAACUUUAUUAUUAUGGCUUACCCCCUGCCAAAGCAAGUGACUAUGUGACGAGUUCCUCAUUAGUAAUCAUGUUAUUGCAAGUUUAUCUCUAGUCUAUGCCUUGAUAGAUUUUACCCCUGUUUUCACUUUCGCCGUUCUCUUAAGCAAAAUAUAAAUAACGAUACCCGGAAUACUUUUCCUCGUGAAAUGCUACAAUGAGGUAUUUUAUCUGUGCGCUUGCGGAUAGAAUAGAUUAUUUUCUAGAGAGCUUCCAUAUUCAUAAAUACCUUUGUACACUCUGGCACCAUGCUGGGGAUGACAACCUAGUAUCCAAGUGGUGUUAGUAAGUGUCAAUAGGAGCUACCCAAGAAAGCACUAGAUUUAUGCAAUAUUAAUCAAACAUGCAGUGGAAAGGAUAAAAAGAAAAGAAAGGUAAAAGAAGGAUAACAUGGACAACUUGGUUCUAAGUUACAUCAGCUACCGUUCCCCGGCAACGGCGCUAGAAAUGCUUGUUGACUCUUCUUAGUGUCACUACCUAGGAUUGUCAAUCCUUGGCACAGCACUUGAAAUGCUUGUGUGACACCAGAAGUGGCAAACAGUUUUACCACAGGUGGACGGUGGUCAAUGUAGCACUUCACCAGGAGUAUUCCAGGUAUCGUAUUUUCCACGAGGAACGAGAAGUGGACUAACUAGACCAAUUGAGUCAUCGGAUGAUGAUCAAAGGGCUUAGGAUUGGGUGGAGAGAUAUUUCUAGUAUUUGGCUUCUGGCUAAGCUAUCCUAAGUAUACUGAGAGUUAACUCCCUUCCUACUGUGGCCGAUAGGUGAAAAGGGUGUGGCGAAAAACUUCCCUAGGCAACUACCAUGCAGGCCAACUAUUAUUUGUUACUUGCCUAACAACACACUAAAGAGAACUCCUAAUGUCCAGCUGAGGCCUGACAUGCUUUGUUGUUGGCAUUCUUCAGGUGUGACAAGAAGUCCACAAGGUCAGACUUAGUCUAGACACCACAUCUACACUAAUUCUACUACUCUAGACCCAGCUAAGGUUUCGAGCACUUCACACAAGGCAAAGCACUGUGCCAGUAGGCCAGUUGUAUACUUAAAAUAAACUAAGAUAGAAAGUAAAUACUGGAAGUACUCACAUGAAAGGCAACUAGAAGGAAGACUUACUAGAAGACAAGCAUCUGCUGAGGCGCUCCUGGAAGAAGACACCCGACAAGUCGGGACUCCUCGGGGAACUCCUCACUCUCUUCCCUCUAUUCUCACACUUACCUAAGAGUAGCUCUUCCUAAGAUACAUCAUGCUUAACUAGGCUCUCUAAGGGUGUAUUUAUAGUAGGAGGUGGAGUAGGGGCUACUCCCCUACCACGUUAGCAAUCUACGUGACCUCCAGCAUGCACCAUUGGAUAAACCGACCUUGGAACCACCAUAUGAUCAACGGUUAGGGAUUUCCAUCACAUGUUCAUCAUGGGGACGUCGGUUGGGUGUAACCGACCUUAGGUGGGCCCACAUCACAUGUCGAUCGACCUGACAUUUUGUGAGGUGGGGCCACCCUGAGCCUUCUAGAAGGUCCUAGAGAUCGGUGGAGUGGAGGUGGCAAGUAGGACCCAACAAUGGCCAGUCGACCGACUAAGAUUUGGUGAGGUGGGCCCACCAGCCUUGCUCCAUUGCUGUCCCCAUCUGUCAUGGAGUGUGUCUUGUGUUCAUCUUCGGUCUGGGUUCUUUUGGUGGGUCCAUGGAUCCUUGUACCUCCAUCUUUUACCCAUGAAUAGAAACACAAGUGUGAUCUGAGGGUCGAGAUGGACUUGAAUGUGUUGCCUUAGGAUCCUAGAAUUGAGCCCGCACCUGGACCACCCCAAGAGUAGGUCGGCCGACCUGCCCUUGGUGGGUCCAGGAGCUCAUUUUCCCCCAAAUGUAAGUGUACCUGCAUCCAAAUACUUAGAGCACAAGUGGAACCUCUUAGUGAUAAAAGAUGCCUAUGCUAUGCCAUUCUUCCACUAUUUCCGGCCUAUUGAUGGUGUUUUCAUGUGUGGAUUUUAUAGCUUAUCCACCGUCAACACAUGGCUGCAGUCGAGACUCCACGGAAGCGCCACAAGACGAUGGCCCACUUGGAGAAGGAGCUAGCUAAGCAACACACCAUAAUAGCCUCUCUUGAAGCCUACCAACGUGUCCAAAGUAGAUGUGUCACUUAUGGUGAUACUAGAAUGGUAACGCUAGAGCAUGAUUCUACUGCUCUAAAGGAGAGAAUGAGGGCUUUAGAGAACCCUAAGAAGUAGGGUCUAUUUAUUCUAGCAUCCGAAGGGGCGAGUGUUAGUUUCAUCAAAGUGUGUUUGAUUUUUACAAGUUUUAAUAAGCCCUGCAUGAAUAUGAAUUAAAUGAUUAUUAUAUAUAUGUCUUGUCUCUCUAUUGUCUCUCUUUUGUCUCCACCAUGUUGUGAAUGAAGGAUAACAAGAAACUAGUGUGGGGGAGACACCCGACGAUCAAAACGAACGAAUUCCCAUGAAAAGUUAACAAAAUUAGAGAAGACAUGACACGAAGACCACGCUCGACGAAACUAACCUUGAAGGGCCACUGGCCAGGGGCACCCGCCCCUAACUUGCUUGGGCGCCCGCCCAGUGGGUGAAGCCCCCUGGUCUCCACUUCGAACCACGGUCAGGUAUGAUUUCUCUAAGUUAUAAAUUGUUAUUAUUGUUGUUGUUUCAAUUUGGAAUAAAAUACCUUUAGUUAAAUCACCCUGUGCAUAAAUAACUAAAAUAUGUUUUAUUCAUAGCCACAAGAUAGACUUACACCAUGAUAAUUCCUAAAAAUUCCUGUUGUUAUUGGAACUUUAAUAUAGGGACCCAUAUUACUUAAGUUGUUGUGGAUAGAGAGAUAGUAUGAAUAUGAGAACUUGAUUUCUGAUGCCUAGUCAUUUGGAGAAUUUUACUUUUCAAAAAUCUUAAAUUGAUUAGCUAUACUUCUCCUGUGGGGGUAUAAACCCCUAUACCCUUACGGCUAGACUUGGUCCAGGAGGCUUGGCCCAUCACGAGGACACCUCGAAGCUUGAUCCGACUGCCUGGAGUUUCGCGCAAGGAAACAAGACGUGGAGAUCAAGCAGGAUUCUAGUCAGUUAGAAUAAGAAUUGAUAUCGAACUAUCCAUGGCAAUUGUAACCGACUAGGAUUAGUUUCCAGAUCUGUAACCCUGCCCUCCGGACUAUAUAAGGAGGGGCAAGGGACCCCCCUAGGAUAUAGGAUUCUCUCAACACAAAUCAAUACAUCCAGACGCAGGACGUAGGUAUUACGCCAACUCGGUGGCCGAACCUGGAUAAAAAGCUUGUCCGUGUCUUGCGUCACCAUCGAGUUCGUAGUUUGCGCACCGUCUACCGAUAAACUACUACCAUGGGUAUACCCCAAGGUAGACUACCGACCAGCUUUCGUCGACAGUGGCGCGCCAGGUAGGGGGUGUGCGUGCAACUUCUCCGGCGAACAAGAUGGUCACAAUCCGAGCUUCCGCGGCCGUUCCUGAAGGCCUCACGUUCACCGUCGGCCAGAUCACGUGGACGAUGCGCGGCGGUGGUCUCACGACUACGGUUUCAGAAGGAACCCAGAUCCAAUCUGGGAUCACGUCGGCUCCGACCACUCGGGUGACGGCUCUGAGCACCCGACCACCAUCCCCGCCCUACAAGGGAAAGAAGAUCGACUGCUCAGACCUUCUCCGGGCACUUGACCGCGCCGAUUCCAGGCUACUUGAAGCUUCCCAGCUUGUAGAUGGAAUCUUACGCCAGCCUGAUCAAGCCGCCUCAACGGAUUUUUUCAAAUCCCCCCGGCCAACUCGUGUCGCUACACACAAACGGCUGGGAACGUCUCUGGCGAUAACCUCGACUCCCUCAGGACGAUCUGUCAAGAUCAAGGUCAACCCGGAGGAAGAUUACCCUCGCGGUCUGAAUAACUCGGCCUCUCUCUACUCGAGACACGUCCGAUCCCUCUUUAACAAAGCUGGUUGGGUGCCAAAGGGGAGUGGUCGACCAGCUCGACAUUAUGUCAACAUGGUAACGAUCCAAGAAUUAUGGGACGACCAGGCUUCCAGCACAAAUUCGAGCACUGGUUCCGUUUCCACUGAAGUCAUAAAUUCCGAGGACGAGGAUUACGACUUGGAUUUCCCGUCACACCCUCCGGGUUUCCCACGUUUCCCGGUCUUCCCACCCCGGCGAGGAGACAUCGUUUUCAACGUCAGCGCCGACGAGCCGGUUGUUGACGGAGAAACAGACGAGCAGAGGUAGCUCCGCGAGCAGCGUAAUGCCGAUCGCGCCCGACGACGUGCGGACGAGGAACGUCAUAUCCCGCCGCAGAAUCUCAGCGACGCUUUUGACAUGGUCGGAGAUCAGCAAGUUUACAAAACGCCAAGCGCCAAUGUAGCUGUUGCUAUGGCUAAUCUAGACCGGCUCCCUGAUACUCCUGAGUGCCAAGGGGUCCGAACUAGUGUCCGAGCACACCUGAUCGCCGCGAUGGGACAAACAGCCACUCUGCUCAAAAGAGUCCAGGCCGUCUCCUAUACAGAGGCCGCCUCCGACCAGACUCACCGUAGCCGGACAUCACCGCAGCCCAGCAGGCACCAUCGCAGCCGUUCCCCCGACAACCAUCGAACAGAUUCACGGCGUAAUGUUGGUGGUCGGGACACUGGCGGUCAACGUGAGCAGAAUCGCAGGCGUGACCAAGAAGUAAACCAGCACAGGGAUCUUCGAUAUAACAUCCCUCCCAAAGAUGCCCGGGACCGCAUCAACAGGCAAGCCACGGAAAGAGCAAUCCACGAAAACCUGUGCCGUAUCGAGUAUGAUGCAACGCACGGCCCUCCGGGCCUGAGACAGUUCUCCUCACACCUCCGCCAGGUCGUGUGGCCCCGCAAUUUCAAACUCGAGAAACUCAAAAAGUACGACGGCAAGGAAAACCCAGAGAACUGGAUCACUCUCUACAAAAUCGCCGUCCGAUCAGCCGCAGGGGACGAACACGUCAUGGCCAACUACUUCCCAGUAGUCCUCGACCAGGCUGGUCAUCAAUGGCUCCUUGGCCUGCCCGAGGACUCCUUCGACUCUUGGGAAGAGCUACGCGAGGCUUUCAUCGACAACUUCAUCGCUACAAGCGAGCAGCCUUGAAACAAGUACGACCUCGAAAGGAUAAGGGACAGAAAAAAUGAACCUUUGCGCGAUUACAUCCGACGAUUCUCGGAUAUGCGCCUUAAGAUCCCGAAGAUUUCCCACGACAAGGCCAUCUCUGCCUUCAUUAAAGGCCUGCGCUUCCAUGAAGCACUGAGGAACAAGCUGUUGCGCAAAAGGCCAACAACGAUGGCCGAACUCCUUGCCACGGCUAAAAAUUACGCCGAUGCUGACGACGCAGAAAAACUAAUCCGGGACGAUGCGAGAGGUCCCGACCAGCCUCCCCGGCGAGAUGACGGUCGCGGCCGUUUCGACAACAGGAACCACCGCCGCCCCGACAACCGUGAUCACAGAGAAGGUUGGGAUAGGUGGCGCGACAAUCGCGACGAUUUCAGAGGAAAGCGCCCCCGCGACCACGACCACGAAGUGAAUACGGUCAAGCAUCCCAACGGGCGACGGGACUACCAAGAAGCCUACAACAAAACGUUGAAGGGACCGUGCCAACUGCAUCCAAAGUCUAAUCACACCAUGGAAGAGUGCCGCGUCCUCAAAAACAUCUAUACACGCCGGGCCGCCCAAGACGACUCCGCCAAGAAAAAUGGAAAACGGGACGGGCAUGACCACGAAGACGAGGACGAGGACCAAGACAAGGACCCCCGACAUCAAUAUGUCAGUCCCACCGACGUGGUCCACUCCAUCUUCGGAGGCAAGGUCUCCAUCGAAUCUAAGCGGGAAUGAAAGCUACUAAAGAGAGCCUGUCUCAACAUAGACAGCACCGAUGGUCUGAUCGCAGACCCAAAAUUUCCCCCAUGGUCGCAUAGGGAGAUCUCCUUCAGCAGGAAGGAUCAAUGGGCUGCUAUACCAGAGCCAGGUCGUUUCCCUCUAAUCCUGGACCCUUGCAUCAACAGCAUCUGGUUUGAGCGCGUCCUCGUGGACGGAGGAAGCUCCAUUGACAUCCUCUUCCGCAACAGCCUGCCCGCUCUCAAGAUAUCUCCGGCACAACUAAAGCCCUAUGAUGCUCAAUUCUGGGGAGUUUUGCCAGGUCAGAGUUCAGUGCCCCUCGGACAGAUAACAUUGCCUGUCCAAUUCGGCACCCCCGACCACUUUCAGACAGAGUUCAUCAACUUUGUGGUCGCCGACUUCGAUGGGACCUACCACGCCAUACUGGGCCGACCAUCGUUGACAAAAUUUGUGGCGGUCCUGCAUUACUCAUACCUGGUCCUCAAAAUGCCUAUGGAGAAGGGCGUCCUGACCGUCAGAGGCAAUGUUUACACCGCAUAUACCUGUGAGGAAGAGAGCUUCAAGAUCACCGAAGCAAUUGACCUUUCAAUCCGGAUGGCAGAAACAGCGACUCAAGCCGCACAGCUGCCUCCCAACCAACUCCGACUACCCGAGCAGGAGACCGCCAGGAAGAAUUCAAAAUCCAAGGAGCACAAAGAAGUUCAACUGGUCGACGGCAGCCCCGAGAAGACGGCUCUCAUCGGGGCCGAUCUGGAUCCCAAAUAGGAAGACGCGCUCGUCAGGUUUCUAAGGGACAACAUGAGCGUUUUCGCAUGGAAACCCGCAGACAUGCCCGGCGUCCCACGAAACCUGAUCGAGCACUCCUUAAAUGUCUCGAAGACCGCAAGACCAAUCAAACAAAAGCUGCGACGGUUCGCUCGUGACAAAAAGGAGGCUAUUAGGACAGAAAUAACACGGCUUCUAGCAGCCGGAUUCAUAAAAGAAGUGUAUCAUCCCGAUUGGCUUGCCAAUCCGGUUCUUGUACGCAAAAAGAAUAAUGAAUGGAGAAUGUGCGUUGAUUACACUGAUCUCAAUAAGCACUGUCCUAAAGAUCCCUUUGGUCUCCCUCGCAUCGACGAGGCGGUCGACUCAACGGCCGGAUGCGAACUCCUCUCUUUUCUAGACUGCUACUCUGGUUAUCACCAGAUCUCGCUAAAGGAAGACGAUCAGAUAAAAACAUCUUUCAUUACUCCUUUCGGCGCCUAUUGCUACACGACCAUGUCAUUCGGACUCAAAAACGUCGGAGCCACUUAUCAACGGGCCAUCCAGCAAUGCCUCCACGACGAGAUUCGUGAUGACCUCGUCGAGGCCUAUGUCGAUGACGUGGUCGUCAAAACAAGGGAUGCAAGCACCCUAAUCGACAACCUAGACCGAACCUUUAAGGCGCUUAAUAGAUACAAGUGGAAGCUUAACCCCAAAAAGUGCAUUUUCGGUGUUCCUUCUGGUCUACUGCUCGGCAACGUUGUCAGUCGCGACGGCAUACGGCCGAAUCCCUCAAAAGUAAAAGAAGUACUUGACAUGCGACCACCCAAUAAUGUCAAAGAUAUUCAGAAGCUCACCGGGUGUAUGGCCGCACUCAGCCGCUUCAUCUUAAUACUAGGAGAAAAAGGCCUCCAUUUCUUCAAACUCUUGAAGGCGUCGGAAAAGUUCUCCUGGACAGAGGAAGCCGACGCAGCGUUCACCCAGCUUAAGGCAUUCCUCACUUCCCCGCCUGUUCUUACAGCACCUCAGCCCAAUGAAGACAUACUCCUUUACAUUGCUGCAACCGACAGGGUUGUCUCCACGGCAAUAGUGGUCGAGCGAGAUGAGCCAGGUCACGUUUACAAGGUCCAGAGACCCGUUUACUUCAUAAGCGAAGUCCUAAACGAGUCCAAGGCCAGGUAUCCACAAAUACAGAAGCUCAUGUACGCUAUUCUAAUAAUGUCAAGAAAGCUGAAGCACUACUUCGACGGCCAUCGAGUCUUGGUAACCACCAGUUUCCCUCUUGGGGACAUUCUGCGCAAUAAAGACGCCAACGGCAGAAUUGUAAAAUGGGUGAUGGAGUUAUGCCCAUUUUCCCUGGAAUUCCAGAGCCGCACCAUAGUCAAGUCUCAGGCCCUGGUCGAUUUCAUUGCUGAAUGGACGGAUCUCAACGAGCCUCCCGUUCCCGACGUCUCUGACCACUGGUCAAUGUACUUUGAUGGGUCCUUGAACAUCAACGGCGCCGGCGCUGGGAUACUCUUCGUAUCGCCUAACAAGGACAAACUGCGUUACGUCCUUAGGAUCCUUUUUCCGGCAUCAAACAACGUCGUCGAAUACGAAGCAUGCCUGCACGGCAUAAGGCUAUCCAUUGAGUUGGGAGUCAAACGCCUCUAUGUCUAUGGCGACUCUGCUUUAGUUAUCAACCAGCUCAACAAGGAGUGGGACGCGACCCACGAGAAGAUGGAUCUCUACUGCAAAGAAAUUCGCAAAUGCGAAUCCAACUUCUACGGCAUAGAGUACAUCCACGUGGUCCGGGAUAAGAACCAGGCAGCUGAUGCGCUGUCAAAGUUAGGGUCAUCUCGGGACCCGAUCCCGCGGGGUGUUUUUGUCCAGGACAUCCAUGAGCCAAGCGUGGGCUCUGGCCUGGUCGAAAAGCAACCCACGGAAACCAUGCUCAUAGACGACGCCACUCCGACAACCAGUGGUCGUGAUUGGCGUACCCCGUUCAUCAAGUAUAUAUCAGAUGGGACGGGCUUCCAGGACAAAACAGAGAACGAACGCCUCAUUCGACGAUCAAGGAAUUACAUACUGGUGGACGGCAAACUCAUGCGAAAAAAUGCAAGCUCCGAGGUACUACUCAAGUGCAUAUCUCAAGAUGAUGGCAUCAAACUCCUCGAAGACAUACAUGCCGGAUCCUGCGGCAACCACGCUGCAUCCACAACGCUGGUCGGGAAACCAUUCCGAGCAGGAUUUUAUUGGCCAACCGCGGUCAAUGACGCCGAAAAACUGGUCCGACACUGUGAGGGGUGCCAGUUCUUCGCUAAAAGGACCCACGUACCUGCUCACGAGAUUCAAACUAUCCCGUCAUCCUGGCCUUUUGCCUGCUGGGGACUCGACAUGAUCGGGCCAUUUAAACCGGCCCCUAGCAACUUCAAGUUCGUCUUCGUAUUAAUCGACAAGUUCUCCAAAUGGAUCGAAUACAUGCCGCUGGUAAAAGCGACCUCCAAGAAGGCAGUGGAAUUCCUCAAUCAAAUCAUACACAGAUUCGGGAUCCCAAACAGCAUAAUCACCGACCUGGGAACUCAGUUUACUGGCACCGCAUUUUGGGACUUCUGCGAUGACAGGGGCAUAGUCAUAAAAUACGUGUCAGUAGCACACCCACGGGCAAAUGGUCAGGUCGAGCGUGUGAAUGGAAUGAUCAUUGACGCCCUCAAGAAAAGGCUGUACACCGAGAACGACAGAGCACCCGGUCGAUGGAUGAAAGAGUUACCAGCUGUGGUCUGGAGCCUCCGAACCCAGACUAGUCGGAACACAGGAGUGUCACCCUAUUUCAUGGUUUACGGCGCCGAGGCAGUCCUACCGUCUGACAUAACCUUUGGUUCUCCUCGGAUUGAAAAUUUCGACCAGUCAACAACCGACAGCGCCAGAGAGCUCGAAAUCAAUUGCAUGGAGGAAAAGCGUCUGAAUUCUUGUCUCCGAACAGCAAAGUAUCUUGCGGCAGUCAGGCGGUACCAUAACAGGAACGUCAAGGACCAUUCUUUUGUGGUCGGCGAUCUGGUACUCAGGUGGAAAACAAGCCAGGAAGGAACGCACAAGCUAUCCACUCCCUGGGAGGGACCCUUUGUGGUCGCCGAAGUCACACGACCCACAUCCUACAGAUUGGCGUAUCCAGACGGAACACGCGUGCCUAACUCUUGGCACAUAGACAAACUGCGUCGAUUUUACCCAUAAGCUCUAGUAACUUUCGCUUGUAAAUAUCUUAUAGCUGUCAAUAAUAAAAGUUUCUCUUUUUUGCCUACACUUUGUUACACGCAGAACUCGGAAAGCCUUCUACAACGGAAGCUCUUAGCGACUACAAAGUCAAAUACAGUGGCACGUCACUCAGAUAACUCCACAGCGCUCAAAAUAGUAGUCAUGACAAAAGCAAACUUUAUUACAAACUUUACAUACAAAGUUUACAGUAAACACCCUGACGGGCGGACACUAGUCUACUUCUACAGACUAUCCUACUGGCCUACUGCUCGGGCUGAUCACCCGCCUGGCCUUGCUGCCCGGACGAAGGAGUCGGGGCCACCGGUGCCUGGCUGGUCGAGACCGCAGGCGUCGACCGCCCAUCUCCCGCAACGGACGCGCCCGACAGCUCCCUAGCCGACCUGUCUGAAAACAGCUGGUCGGGGGGAGUGGCCGUCCCACGCCCGUUGCGCCUUUUCAACUGGAGUCAAUCUCGGCGCGCGGGGCUGGCUCUCCGGCAGCUCGGGGCUGAUCAAGUCCAGAACCGGGGAUACUCCUUUCCAGAUCUUACAACAAUUGACCUUCCAGGAGUCCCGGUCCUUGACCAGCUCGUCCAAGUGCUUCUUGGCGUUCACCUUGAGCACUGCAAACCAAGCAAGAUGUUAUUUUCAACAUAUCGAAAAGAGUGAUCAGUGGCAGAUAACGGGGCGGCGCGUAUUACCAGACAACUCCCGGUCCCUCCGACCCAACUCCUCUCCUGCUCGGAGCCCGGCCUCCAGCGCACUGGCAAGCUCUUGGCUGAGCUGCUCUUUCUUCUGACGAAGGCGUGCUACCACCCCCUCCAAACCUACAUGAAUAGUCCUCUGGCCAGCGGAGUUAACCAACGCAGCUACAAGCAGCUGCCUCGGAGUGCGAGACUAACCUUCUCGCUACCAAAACUGAUCGGCCAAGCGUCGGGUAAGCUCGAGACGGUGCUCUUCCUGAGCGCUCAUCUCGGAUACUUUUUCUCCAACUUCUGACCGAAGUCGGUCCACCUCCGCGGCUAGGGCCUUGUUCUCGGCCACAAUUCCUUCGAUCUGGUCGAAGCACCGUUUCCGGUACUUCGCCGUUUUCAUCGCGCCCUGCAAGAAAAGACAAAUGUCGAACACAGGGAAAUUGCACAAAGUUAUACCAGGAGCACACAGGACCACCUACCUUAACCUCGUCCACGAGGCGCUUAGCCGCGCGCUCCACCCUCGCGGCCUCCUCCGUCUCCGCGAGCUCCUCGUGUCCAAUAAAGUGGUCCCCGCGUUGGCGCCACACGUAGACGUGCUGGCGGCCAUCACGGGCACGACCCUGGAUCUCCUCCACGUCGUCGUCAGAGGCCUCCUGGGGCUCCUCGUUUGCCGCACUGCCUCCGGCUGCGGUCGAGGGCAUCACUGGUCCCUGGUCUAGGCCAGGGGAGCCCACGGGCGAAGAAGCCCCUGCUCGGGGCGGUAACGGCACCCUCCCUUCUUCGGCUGGAGGAGUCGGGACUCUGCUCUCCCCCUCUGCAACAGUACUCGGGGGAGGGGUCCUUGCUGCCUCCUCAUCCCUCGGCUGAGUGCCCUCGGCGGCACUCGCCGGGGCAGAUUGAUCCUCGGAGCCCGCCGCCGCUGCAGGUUGCUCUGCGACCUGUGGCGCGGCGUCCUCACGGCGGCAACAGGAGCGGCCGUCCCCUGCUCUGCGGCCUGGUCGGGGUUGACGUCCGACGCCGCGCUACAUAACAGAGCGAUAUUUUCAACAACAGCUAAAAAAAAUAAAAAAAUAUGUAAGUUGAACACUUACAGGUCCGAUCGACGGUGGGUCGCGGUGAACCUCCUCCUUGCCCAGCCAGUCGGCACCUGUGCCCCCGUCUCCGCGACGCGAGGCGCAGGAGGGUCGCUGGACACCCGAUCAGCAGUGGUCGGCACGCUGUCCGGACGGCUAUGAGGCCUUCGAACCAACGACGGUGCGGCCUCAUCCUCCUCCUCCUCGUCGUCGUCGGUAAUCCGAACGAACCGACGGCACUUUGGCGCUCGGCUGCUCUCUGCCGGCAGCGUCGGCACCGGCGACGGAUCCGCCGCCAUUGGCCUUUUCCCCGUCACUCUAUCCUCAGUGGUCGGGGCGGGGCGGGCCUGGUCCUCCUCACUGCUGGUGUAAUGAGUACACCGAGCAGCGUCUUCCUCCGGCAGAUCUUCUCCCACAGGAUUCUCCAUCCCGGGUGCCAGUGACACAUACACUGUACACCGGUCAACAUCACCGAUCUGCAAAAGUAGCAAAGACAAGUUGGCAACUGACAAUAGCAAAUACUAAGGAAAAAUAAACAGUUAAAUACCUUAGGUGCUGGUCGCCCCAACUUGAAGGCCUGCACCCGAUCACUACCACGGACGAAGCCCCCGUCCGCAAAGUUGAACAACUCAUUCAAUAGCUGCUGCACCUCCGCCUUCUCCAAGACUUCAGGUCGCAUCCUGGUCGGGUCCAGGCUUCCGGCGUACUCGUACGCCGAGUGCACCCUCUUCUGGCAGGGCAUCACCCGACGACAAAUGAAGUUGCCGACCACGCCAAGCCCGUCCAAGCGCGACCAGUCGAUCAGCUUCAUGAGGUCCGCCACUUGUCCGUCGAACUCUGGGCGGUCGGUCCAGCUUACCCUCUUCUCAGGGAUGUAUCCCACGUCGCAGAACGUGGAGCUGCCCGGUUCCUCUCUGAUAUAGAACCACUUCCUAUACCAUUCGGUCAGGGAAGUGUUCCAUGGACAGUGCAGGUAGCGGUUCUUCAUCCCGUCGCGAAGGUUGAGGUAUACUCCACCUGCAACCUUGGAGCCUCCAACUGCUCCCUUUUUUCUUAAACAAAAAAGAUAGCGGAAGAGGUCGAAGUGCGGCUCUAGUCCAACAUAGGCUUCGCACAAAUGGAUAAAAGUAGAAAUAAGAAGGAUUGAGUUCGGGUGCAGAUUGCAAAUCCCGAUCUCAUAAUACAGAAGAAGACCCUGAAGAAAGGGAUGAACAGGAACCCCAAAACCCCUCUUAAUGAAGUCUUCGAAGACCACGAUCUCACCGGCACGGGGGUCGGGGAAGCUCUCUCCUUCCGGUGCUCUCCAGCAGCCGAGCUCCGAGCCGUGCAGAAGCCCCAUAUCAACAAGGUCACCAAGAGAUUUUGCGGUGCUGCGGGACUUUUUCCACUCCUUGGCCAUCAGCUCGGCCCUCUUCUUGGAGUCACUCUUCGCCAUUGGAGGUGUGAGAGCGAUUUUGAGUUUGGAAGGUGUAGGGGAUUAAAGGAGGCAAGAGUGGAAAGCUUGAAGGCAAUGGUAGGGUAAGCAGUACAAGGGGAACUGUCGAGCUCUUAUAACCCACAACUUCAUCCUUCCCACUUCCCGCAUUCUCGCGAAGUGGGCGGGCCAUACGGUGGAUGCGGCGUUUCGGUUUCCAAUGAUUAUCGACAAUUAAUGCGGCGGAGUUUUCGUACAAAUUGAUGGUUUCCUUUUCUCAAACCGCGCAAAGGGCGGCUGUACAGUUGCCAGGCGCAACUUUUCAAGCAUCCAUCUAACAUCCCGUCAGGAGGUCUCGUCACGUCAACUUUUUUCUGGAGAAAUUUUUCAAAACAAGCAGACAAAAAUGGCAGAGAGUCAACAAUCCGGGGACUGCACCGACCACCGAGCACUUGAUGCUCGGGGACUGGUCGCCCAGUCCAUUAAAUCAGAAAUUCAACGACUGCACCGACCACCGAGCACUCGAUGCUCGGAGACUGGUCGUCCAGUCUAUUAACCCGGCAAUUCAACGACUGCACCAACCACCGAGCACUCGAUGCUCGGGGACUGGUCGUCCAGUAAAGCAACACAGAACUUCAAGGAGCGCACUGACCAACGAGCAUUUGGUGCUCGGGUACUGGUCGUCAGAUUUGUUUAGACUGCUCCGACCACCGAGCGCUUAAUGCUCGGGGACUGGUCGCUUAGUUUAUUGGUUUGGAAAUCAGCAAGCUGAACUGUUUGCCGACCGUUGCACACCCGGGGACUGGUUGACCAGCUCGACGAACAGCAAACUCUAUGGUAAAUAAGCAUGAGAUGCUCGGGGAUUGGAUAAUUUCGGUUCUUUAGACCUUGCUACAAGGCUCAUACUUCGCCUUCCAGCAAGCUCGGGGACUACAUCGGUACGAUGCAUCUAGCGAUGCAUCUCACAUUCAAAGCAGCUUUGGAGAUUCUUCUUUGGACCCUGGCACCACGUGACUACGUCACCUGCUACCAGGCUCGGGGACUAAGUGGGCACACUUCACCUUGCGGUGAACUUGCUUGCCUUUUUGAUGGACUAUACUUUUCGGAAAGUAAAGUGGGCACACUUCACCAAAAAAGGAAUAUUUUUUCUCAAGAGCACCAUGCAUUCUUCGAACAAUUGGCUUCUUCGAUCAUGAAGUUAAUUGGAUGCUUUUAGAUUUGUUCAAACUGUUGUCGCAACUAUUUGGGCAAUUUUCAUAAUGAUUAAAGAUAUUAAGUUUCAUUGGUCGAAGAAGCUCAAGACGGCGUGUUACUUCACAAUACAUGGUGCUCGGGGACUAGCUGUCGGGGUAUAAACCCCUAUAUCCUUACGGCUAGACUUGGGCCAGGAGGCUUGGCCCAUCACGAGGACAGCUCGAAGCUUGAUCCGACUGCCUGGAGUUUCGCGCAAGGAAACAAGACGUGGAGAUCAAGCAGGAUUCUAGUCAGUUAGAAUAGGAAUUGAUAUCGAACUAUCCAUGGCAAUUGUAACCGACUAGGAUUAGUUUCCAGAUCUGUAACCCUGCCCUCUGGACUAUAUAAGGAGGGGCAAGGGACCCUCCUAGGAUAUAGUAUUCUCUCAACACAAAUCAAUACAACCAGACGCAGGACGUAGGUAUUACGCCAACUCGGCGGCCGAACCUGCAUAAAAAGCUUGUCCGUGUCUUGCGUCACCAUCGAGUUCGUAGUUUGCGCACCGUCUACCGAAAAACUACUACCGUGGGUAUACCCCAAGGUAGACUGCCGACCAGCUUUCGUCGACAUCUCCUCUAUAGCAAGAAUUAAUGUCCCACUAGAGACAUGCAUGAUAGAUAUAAACUAGCUCAUAGGCUACUUGCUUUGUAUUGAGUUUUGUCAAACCUUAUUGUCUUAUGUCGAGAGGAUUGUUGACGGUCCUUAGUGCUCACAUUUAACCAUCAAAUAAUCAUGGAAAAGGAUCUAAAUGCAACCGACACCUAGACUUAGGGUUUUAUCUGAUAGAAUUCCACGAGUUUUGGUGUUUGUCUAUUUCUGCAGGGGGUUAUCAGAAAAUAUGGAGGAAAGGCCCACACGUCGGGUUUACAUAGAGAUAUUAACAUGUGCGCCAAUUUUCUAUCAUCUAGAAGACUCCAGAAGCCACGGGAACGAACGGGAGGCCGAGCGGGCCCGGGGGCAGGGCGCCCGCCCUCCCCCCUUGGGCGCCCGCCGUGCCCUGGUGACCAAUCAGGGCAGGUCUCGCGGAUCGUGCUCCACCACCUUUGAGGAUCAAGGAAAACUGUGCGAUUAAGGUCGGUUUGAUCCGACGGCCUACAUUCAUUUGGAGAGGCUAUAUAAGUAGGCCCCCUGGCCCCUAGAGAACAUACCUCUUCUACAGAAUCAAAGCUAGGGUUUUAGUUAUUCAUCCAAGUAGAGAGGAUCCCUCUAGUUCAUCUAGUUCUAGUUCUAGUUCUAGUUCUAGUUCUAGUUAGUUCUAGUUGUAAUCUAGAAAAUAGGGAGAGUGAAGAGGAGAGCGGAGAAGGAGUCGGAUCUGUCGGAUCUUCCUCAACAUUGAACUUUUGCAGCAACUGGUUCAUUCUUCAUCGUUCUACAAGUUCUUCAAUUCAUAAUUCCUAAGUUCUUUAAUUACUUUUAUUUACAUUCAAGUUAUUUAUUGGAUUUCCGCUUGCAUCAAGUGCUCUAGUCUUUGAAAUGCUAGAGUAGUAAUUAAUAGAUUAGACGUGGUAUUUAGUCUUGCAAUUACCUGGAAUUACACCCAAUCCUGUGGAUUGUUGUGGUAGCCCUUGGGUAGUGACAGCCCUAACGGUCGACGUAUUCCGCCUCGUUCGGAUCGGUGUUCGUAGGACCGAAGUCAGAGCUUCCUAGCCCCCUUCUCAUCUCUUUCUGUGGUUUGUGUUCUGAUGUCUCAAAAUAAAUAAUCUUUGAAGUAAUUCUUGAUUCUUAGAUCAACUAGAGAACUCUCAGGAAACUUCCUCUCUUCCCACCAAAAAUAAUUAUAUAGUUAUCCUUGGGUGAUCUUGAAUCUUAAUUAGUACACUCACAUUCCCUGUGGAAAAUCGAUACUCUGGAUACUCCCGGGUGAAAGCUACAUCGGUAUCCGUGCGCUUGCGGAUUUUUCUGUUUGCGUUUAAAAUACCCAACAAGCUUUCUGGCGCCGUUGCCGGGGAACGGUAGUUGUGCUAGUUUCGAACCAAGUCAUCCGUGUAUCCUUUUUCUUUUCCUUUUUUUACCACCUUACCAUUUUCACCACACCACAUGGAUUUCACUCCAAGCAUUAAUGAGCAUGGAAUUUAUUUCAUAGCCACUUCGUUUACUCCAUGCUCAUAUGCAAUAUCUUCCCAAUCUAUUGGUCUCUCCAACAUCACCACAUUCGAGAUCUCCAACCCCCUCUUCCUUUCUAUUUAUAAAAACUUUAGAAGGGCGGUUGUCGAUGCAUAUGUCUAUAAUAAAUAUUGCAGAUCUCAUUGGGUUGAUAUAGGUCAGCGUUGGAGGGGAAACCACUUCGCCGACAUAAAUUGAUGGUUUCCCAAGGACAAGCUUAGUGUCCUAAAAUAAGCACUGAUCAGAUCGUAACAUGAGCUUUUAAUUAUUUGCAACAUUACCUUGUGUAUUGAGCAUAUAAGGAUAAUUGUAAAAAAUUCCUUCGGGUAUUCUUGUCACUAACCUUUCUAGGAUUGGAGCAAGAAGAUUGGAUGAAUGACAAGCACAAGGUAUGUCCAACCAAUCAUCAUACAAUAUUGAAUUAAAUUCAUCCAAACUUGAAUUUUGCAAAAUUCAAGCUUGGGGGAGUACUUUACAUAAAAACAUCCUUUGCCAUGUUGCUAUGUUGGUUAUCCCUACCUUUGAGACAUGCUCAAUUUGUUAAAUACUAAUCACACUACUUCAUCUCCACUUGAGUAGAUCUAUAUAAAUGCUCUCAUGCUACCUUUAUUUGCUUUAGUAUAUGUCUAGGUUUGGAGUAGUUUCAUUUAUCUCUUAAUUAAGCAUGGUGUUUAGCUUAGGAAUGAUGAUCCUACUUCUAAGGGAUUUUAAAUUAAGCAUGGUGCUUAGGUUAAAAUGCCCUCCUAAAUCAAAUUAGACAUGGUGUCUAGGUUGAUUUUUGAGCCGAUAGUAUGCUAUAGUAGAUAUUGGAUAUUUUGUUGGACUAACCCCUGCAGGAAAACUUUCAAUAUCUACCUGGGAAGUCCUAAGAUAAACUCACAUUAGAGACAAAGAGAGAGACACAUGAAGGUUAACAAUUUACACAACGAAGGCAUAGCUCACUAGAGAUGAUCCAUGGAGGGUGCCACAAACACGAUGCACAACCGCUAAGAAAGGAAAGCUUCCACAAGGUGAUACUAUACCAUCACUCUUCAAGUAAGGUAACAUCUUAAGGUACUUGACUAUCACUUUUAUAAGCUUCUUCUUGGUUCUGGCAUUCACAUGAACAAAAGAGAUAAACAUGUAUGAUUUACAACUCUAGAUUAACCAACCCAAUUGAUUCAAUAUGUUUAGUCCUUCCACCUUUGGGAUCCCACACUCCUAACCAUAUGAGCUAAAAAUGUUGCACACGCAAUCUUUGGAAGGUAUAUAUAAAAAAACAUAAGUAUAGAUAGAUUUCCAUUAGGUUGAGCGAUCUGAUCUGACAAAUGUUUUAAAUGCUACACUCAUGAUCUUAUUAUCCAUCAACUUUGUCGUGCUCACUAUGCUUAAGGUUAGAGAAGAACAAAUACACUUUUGGUUUUGUUGGUGUUUUCCACCAACAGGGCCCAUGCACUUGAUCUCUGCCUUGUCUCUAUGAGCAGGUACACUUCGAGCAAAAUAUGAAGGAGUUUUACAACUCCUAGACUCCACCAAGUGAAGAACCUGGAUCUACGAGCACAAACACACUGGAGAUACUGGACACUCAGGCAAUCACUGCCCUAAGAUGCUUGAGGACGUAAACUACAUCAACAACAACAACUACUACUACAACCGUCCUCAACAAAUUCAUGGUUGAAAUCAAUAGAGGCCUAACUACUCAGGUAAUUAUCAAGGUAAUAAUUCUUACAAUAAUAAUAAUAAUUUUCUACCUCUGAGAGAGUUAGUGUCUAAUCAAGGAAAGCUAAUGGAUAACCUAUGUAAGAAAUUGGCAUCUAAUGAUCAAAUGUUAGAAAAUAUAAAUAAUAGAAUGGAUAAUUUCUCUACUGCCAUCAAGAAUCAAACUAGCUUUAAUAAAAUGAUUGAAUCUCAGUUAAAUCAAAUAGCUGAUGUUGUUCCUGCUACUAACCCCGGUAUACCAUCACAACCGGAAGGAUUAGAAUCUGCAAAUCUUGUAGACAUGUUUGAUGCAGAUAACUACUGGAGUAACCCCGUUGUGGAAGUAAUUACUGACCUUCUGCCGGUCAAGAGAGGCGAUCUAGGACGCCCCGUCAUCCUGAUCUCCAUCGACAUGGUGGACUUCCCAGAAGCACUCUACGACUUUGGCUCCAACGUCAACAUUAUGCCAGGGUACUCUAUGAAAAAUUCUUUACAUAUCCUUUACUAGAAACAACCAUGUGUUUGCAGCUUGCAGAUCGGACACUAAGUUUCCCAAAGGGAAUAUUGAAGAACCGCUGUGUCUGAGUUGGUACCUUGUACGCCCCAGCAGACUUCGUUGUGACAGAGACUAGUACUGAUGAGAGGGCACCCAUCAUCCUAGGGAGGCCAUUCCUGAACACCUCGGGAGCUGUCAUCUACACUAGUGCUGCCAAGAUCAGUUUCUACAUCAAGGGGAGGAAGAAGACGUUUUCCUUCAAGAACAAGACUACACAAAUCUCAGAGUAAUCCCGACAUGAACCAAGGAAGAGGACCAAUAGGAGGAACAGGAACAAGCAAAUGUGGACUGAGUCAGCUAAGAUGGUCACUGCAGUUCAAGGAGGUCAAGAUCGUCGACUUAAGUCACCGUUCCUGACCAAAAAGGAUGACCCAGGUAUGCCAAGCAUCCAGUGCUCCAUUAAUGGAUACGACUUCCAGAAGAAGCUUUGCGACACCGGGUCAGGCGUCAACAUAAUGGCCGCAGUCACCUAUCAGCUCCUGUUCGGAACCAUGCCCUUAAAACCGACAUACAUUCAGCUCUAGAUGGUAGAUCAGACAUUUCGAAAGGUUGAAGGUAUAGUAACUGAUGUCCCUGUCAAAAUAGACGAUCAUUUUGUCCAUAUAGAUUUUCAGGUUAUUGACAUGGGAGAAGACGAGUACGAUCUACCCAUCAUCCUUGGGAGACCGUUCCUCAGCACUGUUAAAGCAAUCAUCUACAUUGGAACCGGAGAAGUCCACAUGCACUUCCCCUCUGAGAAGGUACGCCGCUAUUUUACUAACCCUAACUAUAUAGUUGAAGACUCUAAGCAGGUCAGGACAAGAAGAAGACGACGCAACCACAACCAAAGGAGGCAAAUCAUCAAGGACAGAUGGGCAGACUACGAAGGAGAAGUGGUAAGGUCUGAAGACAUACAGCUUGAACAGAACUGUCCUGAGGAGACCGUAGCACCGAGUCAGGUGUGGAGAGAGAAGAUAGUUAUACACGAAGAGGAGGCGCUGCCGGAACCACCGACUAUGCCAUCCAGCGAAUCUCAGGACGACUAAGAAAGCGGAGAGUCCCGUUCUGAGGACUUAAAAACACCGAACGCCUUGUAAAGAGGUAAACUUGGUAGUUAUCCUUUUCCUUUCAAUUAUUUAAAAUAAUUUGCUUAGUUAAUCAGGUUCAUAUCAUCUUGAAAAUAAAAUAAAAAUGUUAAAAAUAGUAAGCCCCAUGUGAGUAUGCUCAUGGCAUAAAACCCAUAAGUACAUUCACUGUGGUGGCGUCAAAAAUAAAAUAAAAAUAUUCUUCUGCUCUAUAAAAAAUGAAAAUAUAAAAAUAAAAUUGUGAUCCUACCAAAGAAAGUAGCAUUUAUUGAGGAGGCUCAACAUGAUAAAGGCUAGAUAUUUAUGAUAACACCUAAUCAGUUCCACAAAGCUUUGUUGUCUAUUUGAGCUCCACAGAAUUCAAGGAUCAAAGAAGACUAGCAGACGGAGGACAUCUUAAUCGCUGUUAGGGUGCUGACGACAUUCAAAUACACCUCCGCCACCUGCUAGCUACAUCAGAAGAAAUUACGUCAAAAUCUAGCUUGGGGGAGAGCACCCCCAUUUAUCCAGCUAAGUGUUCUACUCACGUUUAUACUUUACUCAAAUAAUAAAAGAUGCAUAAUCAUAAAAACCCAAAUAAAGAUUUUGUGCUUAUAUAUAUAUCUUUGCUUAGGUUGCUAAAUAAAUAAAUAAAUAAAGUUUGCUAUGAACCCUGAUGAUAUGCUCUCACAUGGAAAUGAUGAAUACUUGCUCUGCCAUAACUAGUUCUCAAAAUUGAAAUCUCUCUCAAGUUUAGGCAUGACGGUUAUUAAUUAAGAUUUGCUCUAAACCUAAACUUGUGGGAAGAGUACUUGAUCUAAAGUCUAAGUCAUUAAUGGAUAAGAUAUUGGAAGGUUGAGCUGCUGUUUAUCUGUUCCUAGAGAUGCUAGAAUUCUGGAGAAUUUAAUCUUUAAAAUGUUGCAUGAUGAGUUCCUGUAUGAUGAGAGUUUAAAAUCCUACCACAGCCAUAUAUACAUGCUUAUUAGACUAUGAACCAUACAUUUACUUUUUACUGGUUAUGAGCAUUGAGUGUGGUCAAGCUGUGUAGACCCUUAGGAGCUUGUCAUGCGGUUAAAAUCAAGAUUCACUUGCACGUUCACUCAUACAUGCUGCUUCUACUCCGAAAGUAUGCAUCCACAUACAUCCACUCAAUUCCAUCUCCAGAUUCACCUAAAACUAUUCUAUUCCUACCUAGGAGAGAAUAGCCAAAAACAUUAUCCUAUGCCUGUUAUUCCCCGUGAAAUAAAUGCUCAAGAUAUUUUGGUUACUACCACUUGCUACAUUAUUCCAGGAGGGUGAGUGCUCUGAAAAAAAAGAGUGAAUACGAGGAAAUAAAAAGGGGCAAGUGCUCGAAACCUCAAAAAAAAAAGAAAAAGUGAGACGAGAGGUAAAAAUGGACAAGUGUCCGACAGUAGAAUUAGGGGUACAAGAUACCCACCUGAGAGAAAAGAAAAAUAAAAUAUAGAGCAUCUCAUUCCCCUCAAAAGACUCAAGUGCAAGGAAGGUAUGUACCCCCUCAAAAGAGCAAAAGUAGAAUUAGACUUUCACCAUUAUUUUCACCAUUAUCACCAUUCAUUCGCCACACAUGCACAUCUUGAUUUGACUUAUUGACUUGUUCUUUUGGAUCCAUGGUUUGACUAUGCAAUAAAUGUCUUGUAAGUAUGUAUUAGUUGUCUCCCACCUAUGAGCUCCAGAUAUCAAAACCUUAUUUGAGUAGGGUGAGAGAGAAGGUAAUGCCACUAUGCCUCAUACCAAAAAUACCACAUACUUUGAGAGAAGGCAUACACCAUUACUGCCUUGGUAAGGAUCCAGAAAUACCACAAAAGAGAGACUAGAGAGAGUCAUAUAAGGAAUCUCUGAGUUUUAUUUGAAAAUCUGCAAAAACUCUAGAGCUAUAGUUAAUCGAAGAACAAGAGACAUGGCGCUUGACUAGACCGUUCUAUCUUUUAACUGCUCAAGACACAAGUGACGGUUGCAAGCCCCAUGGUGGAAGGAAAAAUGAGUAAGUUUAAGUCUUAACAAUUUACCCUAACCCAGAGAUGAGAUCUUGUUUGAACGCAUGUGUACCUUUAAGGCAUGAAACCACUGUAGAAACUCUUGAGUCCAUCCUUGCUCAGGGACGAGCAAAGGUUAAGCUUGGGGGGCUUGUUGACGGUCCUUAAUGCUCACAGUUAACCAUCAACUAAUCAUGGAAAAGGAUCUAAAUGCAACCGACACCUAGACUUAGUGUUUUAUCUAACAGAAUUCCACGAGUUUUGGUGUUUGUCUAUUUUUGCAGGGGGUUAUCAGAAAAUAUGGAGGAAAGGCCCACACGUCGGGUUUACAUAGAGAUAUUAACAUGUGCGCCAAUUUUCUAUCAUCUAGAAGACUCCAGAAGCCACGGGAACGAACGGGAGGCCGAGCGGGCCCAGGGGCAGGGCGCCCGCCCUCCCCCUUGGGCGCCCGCGCUGCCCUGGUGACUAAUCAGGGCAGGUCUCGCGGAUCGUGCUCCACCGCCUUUGAUGAUCAAGGAAAAUCGUGCAAUUAAGGUCGGUUUGAUCCGACGGCCCACAUUCAUUUGGAGAGGCUAUAUAAGCAGGCCCCUGGCCCCUAGAGAACAUACCUCUUCUACAUAAUCAAAGCUAGGGUUUCAAUUAUCCAUCCAAAUAGAGAGGAUCCCUCUCGUUCAUCUAGUUCUAGUUCUAGCUCAUCUAGUUCUAGUUCUAGUUAGUUCUAGUAGUAAUCUAGAAAAUAGGGAGAGUGAAGAGGAGAGCGGAGAAGGAGCCGGAUCUGUCAGAUCUUCCUCAACAUUGUACUUUUGCAGCAGCUAGUUUGUUCUUCAUCAUUCUCCAAGUUCUUCAAUUCAUAAUUCCUGAGUUCUUUAAUUACUUUGAUUUACAUUCAAGUUAUUUAUUGGAUUCCCGCUUGCAUCAAGUGCUCUAGUCUUUGAAACGCUAGAGUAGUAAUUAAUAGAUUAGACGUGGUGUUUAGUCUUGCAAUUACCUGGAAUUACACCCAAUCCUGUGGAUUGUUGUGGUAGCCCUAGGGUAGUGACAGCCCUAACGGUCGACGUAUUCCACCUCGUUCGGAUCGGUGUUUGUAGGACCGAAGUCAGAGCUUCCUAGCCCCCUUCUCAUCUCUUUCUGUGGUUAGUGUUCUGAUGUCUUGUAAAUAAUCUUUGAAGUAAUUCUUGAUUCUUAGAUCAACUAGAGAACUCUCAGGAAACUUCCUCUCUUCCCACCAAAAAUAAUUAUAUAGUUAUCCUUGGGCGAUCUUGAAUCUUAAUUAGUACACUCACGUUCCCUGUGGAAAAUCGAUACUAUGGAAUACUCCCGGGUGAAAGCUACAUCGGUAUCCGUGCGCUUGCAGAUUUUUCUGUUUGCGUUUAAAAUACCCAACAAGGAUUAUCAUGCUCCUAAGAUCAAGAUCACGUACACCCACAUAUAUCUGCCAUUCCUACACUAAGAAUGCGCACAAACAUGCCUUUCCAUCCACCAAAUUUGUUUUACUCCUACAUGGGAGGAAACACAAAAAAGAGACUUAGUAGGAAUAAUUGCUCUAAGUUCUUUAAAAAGCCUUUCUCAAUAUUUUUUGGUUACAGAAGGAGGUAUGAGGCUAUGCAAAAUAAGAGUAUUGAAAAAAACGAGAGAAAAGAAAGAAAGAAAAAGGACAACUAUCCUAGAAGGAAAGAAGAAUAAAAGAUAGCACAUAACAUGUUGUACAAAGACCAUCAGUGCUUUAGAGAAAGAAAGACAUUUUCAAAAGAGCAAUGUAGAAUUAGGAUUAGCCACUAUAUAUUCUAGACACAAGAAUCAUCAUCGUCAAUGCAACAAUCCCCAAGGCCGCUCUUGACCGUGAGCACGGCUAAUAUACUAGUUUUUAACACUCUGCAGAGGUUGUACAUCUUUACCCAUGAGUCAUGAUUUACCCUUUCGCCCGAGGUGAUCAGCCUCUUAACCCACUUCCAAGGAAGGUCGGCAGGGAUCACUAUGAAGCCUUUCAAAAGUUCGUCUAACAUGUUAGGGCCGCAAGGUUUCCUUUGCGAGCAGAUAUAGAUACCCCCCUUCCGAAUGGCACAAUGACGCGCAGCCUAUACACAUAGGGACAGGGGCUCACACUAUACCCGUGUUCAGCCCCUCCGCCCUUUCGGGUAACCUCUAAAAGGCUAGAAAAGGUCUUCAUAGUGAGCUAAAGCCAGAGCCAUUAUAGCCCUCAUGGUUGCACUGUUGUCCCGGUGAUCACUUACAGACAAGAUCUCAUAUAGUUAUUUGUCAUCUUUUAACGUUCAUUGCAUAGCUAUUAAUCAUCUUACAAGAUCAUGGAUUAUAUCAAGCACUAGCACAUCUACACCAAAUGCAUAUCAAGUAGGUAGCAAGGAAUCCAGAUAACAAUCAUCUAUGAUUUUGCUAAGGUCGACAAGGUGAAAGCAUGCAUAUGAUAUAUAUGUGUAUUUAUAAGUGAAUAGGUAACAAGGAAGAUCCCAAGUUAUACUUGCCUUCAUCCAAUUGCUCUUGCUGAUCUUGCUAACUCUGCUGGUCUUACUAGUUGUCCAAGCUCUGAUCUUGAUCACCAAAAACUGCUCUCCGUCUAAACUCGAUCAUCGAUCACAAACAUACGGCAACAAGCAUACACGAAGCAAACAAGGCUACAAUUAGAACAGUACACCAAUCAUAUAAAAAUAGUAUGAAAAGUUUAUAAAAAGAUUCUACGCGUUGCUACGUUCAUACGAACGUAAAGAUCACGAAAAUCGGAAUUGAAACGGAGAAGUUAUGAAUUUUCUAAGAUUUUAUAUAGAAAAGUAAUUAAUUAAUUAAAGUCACGAAAUUAAAAAGUUUCAAACUGAGAAAACAAUGCUACUAACAUGUAGAGCUCAUUAAUACGAAUCCAACGCAAUUUGAAUGGGUCAAAACGGAGUUAAGAUGAAUAUUUUAUGGCCAAAAAAAAGUCAGUGGCAAUUCUAUAAAUAAUGAAAACGUAUUUUUAAUCUAAAACCGAGUUGUUUGUGUUUUCCAAACUGAAAGACAAAGUGAUUGGGGCUUACGUUGGUGGACAGAGAGUAGGUUCACCGGCAGUGACGCUUUCUUGGAGCUACAGCAACGCCCGAGCAGCCGACCGUUCGUAGAUGUCGUGUAUAGGCGAGACGAUGGCGAUCACGUUGUAGAGAAGAAAAUAUAAAUUUUAUUUUACUACCUUAGGAAUUCUCAAAUUAGAAGCUUCCUAUAUGAUAGUUUUUUAAGUGCUUUACCUAAGGGGUUGCUACACAUAUAUAGAGAGAAAAACUCCCCACCUCUAUGUCAACUAGCGAUAUGGUACUAACUGAUUUGCAACCUUCAUCUUUACUAAUAGGCCUAAUUAAUUAUUAAAUCCCAUUAGUAAAUAAAAAUAUGGUCUUGGGAUUUAUUAUGAUUAUUGUAACUGGGCUUUGACGUUAGAAAAUAGUAAUAGAUUUAUUAUUUUCGAAAUUAAUUAUUUUCAUGGAUAAAAUAAUUCUAGAAAAGUCCAGAAUUAUUAUUUAAACUAUGAAAAAUAUUCUAAAAGCUCUGGAAAUUCGGAGAAAAUUUUCAGAGACAUUAUGGAAUAUGAGAAACUCAAAUAACGUAUUUGGACCUCAUGAUAAGAUAAUUUGGGGCAUCUAAAAAUUAGAUUUAUGCUCAUAGAAAAGUGAAAAUAGAAGAUGGAAAAAUUCCCGAAAAGUUUGUAGAGAUUGCUUGAUGGACGAGGAACUAAAAGAAGUGCUUUGAGUGACAAAGAAAAGAUUUUAGGAAGCUCCUAAUAAAAAAUUGAGCUGAGAAACAAGGAAUUUGGUUAUAGAUAAAGAUAAAGACGUACUGGUCAAGGAAGAUCGAUCUACUAAUCGCAUUUUAAAAACUUUGCUCACUCAACACAUAAAGGAGCAACAAGCAUCACAUCAAAACAUAUGCACCAGCAUGUAUGCAUAAUAAUAUUGCUAAGCCUUCUGAUAAAUUUUAAUUUAAAGAAAAUUUUAUUUUACUAUAUUUUCAUGAGUACAGAAAUACAAAAUAAAUUAUUUUAUCUAUAUUUCAAAAGGAGUUAAUUUUAGGAUGUUACAGAUAAGCUAAGUUUUUCUUUAUAAAAAUAUUAUAAAAUUCCAAGUGACAAGGCUAAAGGAAAAGAGAACUCUAUUUUUGUAUUGUUCCCUCUUCAUCUUCUCAAAGUUCUAUGGUAGACACUUUGAAUCCCACAAUACAGGUAUGAAUUGGAAUAAAUUUGGUGAUGUCUUGGUUUUGAGGUUAUGAUUAAAAUAGUCUACCUAUCAUUUUCCUCGAGGACAAGUAAAAGAUAAGUGUGGAGGAGUUUGUUGACGGUAGAUAACUCCUAAUUUUAACCGUCAACUUAACAUGAAAAAGGUAUUUGCAAGCACUCAUUAGAUAAAGGGUUAUCACUAACAAAAUUCCACGAGUUUUGAUGAUUGUCUAUUUCUGUAGGGGGUUAUCAGAAUAAUAACAAAAGAAGGUCCACAUGUUAGAUUUACAUAGAGAGAAGACCAGAACGUCAACUCAGGAACAAUCUAGAAGACUCCAGGAGCCACCACCUAGAAGAUGGGACCCACCUGCCAUAGGGCAGGGGCGGUCGCCCGAGGCUCUCCACCAAUCGGAGUGAACCUCGUGGAUCCUGCCUCCAUCGACUUUGAGGAUUAAUCUUAAGCGCACAUUUAAGUCGGUUUGAUCCAAGGGUUGUGGUGAUUCCUAGGGAGCUAUAAAUAAAGACCCUGCCCUCCCCCCUUGAGAUGUAACUAUAAAACCGUAAUUCAUAUUUUUCAGAGAGAGUUAGACAGAGAGGGUGUUGACGGUCCUUAAGUAUCAAAUUUAACUAUCAAAUAAACAAAGAAAAGGAUCCAAAUGAAAUCAACAUCGAGACUUAGGGUUUUAUCUGACAGAAUUCCACGAGUUUUGGUGUUUGUCUAUUUCUGCAGGGGGUUAUCAGGAAAUAAGGAAGAAAGGCCCACACGUCGGGAUUACGUAAAGAUAUUAACGUGCCGCGCAAUUAUCUUACAUCUAGAAGACUCCAGAAGCCACUAGACCGAAGCGGAGGCGAAACGGGGCCAGAGACAGGGCGCCCGCCCUAUCCUACUGGGCGCCCGCCCACCUCCUGUGGCCAAUCACGCUCAAUCUCGCGGAUUAUGCUCCACCGACCUAAAGGAUCAAGAAUAACCGUUCAAUCAAUGUCGGUUUGAUCCGACGGCCCAGGUUCACUUGAGGGGACUAUAAAACCAGACCCCCUGGCCCCUGGAGGAGGCACCCCUUGAUCAUUAUUCAUUAUUCAUAGACAGAGCAAAAGCUAGGGUUUAGAGAUGAGAGCUCUCCUCUCUUCUCUAAACUAGAGUAGAUCUAGAUAGUAGCGAGAUGGAGAGCGAAGGAGGAUUAGAGGAGAGGCCGGCCUGUCGGUUCUUCCUCCGGUUGUACUUCGCCAUGAUCAAGCUCUAAUCAAGCUUGCUCAUGGGAUGACUCUGGUAAUCUGCUUCUAAUUCAUUAUGCAAUUACUAAUCAUGUAUGUUCUGGUUCACAACUCUUUUGAGUACUUCUAAUCUAUAGGACCCUAUAGGUUAGAGUUGUAGUAUAGGUGUAAGCGUGGUGCUUAGACCUAGAUUACUUGUGGAUAUCCCCUGACUAGCUGGAUCGUGUGGUAGGCCGCGUAGGUGACAGUUACGUUGGUCCCCUGUAGUCCACCUCUCGUUAGCAAGACGGGUAGGGUUUAUCGGCCUAUGGAUAAGCAUCCUUUGUGGUGUACUCUUAUCACGUGGUUCAUCCCAGACAUAGACAUACCCCUUUGAAGUAGAGAAACCAUAAUUAUCCUCUCUAUUCUGCUACCAUCGCCCAUAUACUAGAAUUGAUCUACUCUCUAUUCUCAUAUUAUCACUCACUGUUAUCUUACCUUUAAUAUUGUUCUUAUUUGAUUCUACCAUCUUUCCUAUUCACACCUAUUUACUUAUCUUGGUUAAGUUAGAGCGUGAUCAGUUCUCCCGUUUCCCUGUGGAUACGAUAAAACCUUUAACCGGGUAAAAGCUUCAACGGUAUCCGUGCGCUUGCGGAUUAUCUGUGUGCGUAUAAAUACCAUAGUACACUCUAGUGCCAUGCUGGGGAUGACAACCUAGUAUUCAAGUGGUGUUAGCAAGUGUCAACAAGCAUUUUUGGCGCCGUUGCCGGGGAAACGGUUGCUGAGUUGACUACGAACUAGUUUAAUCAUUUUAUAAAAAAUAAAUAAAUAAAAAAAAUAUUUUCCUUUUAUCCUUUGCCUCAUCUCUGCUAUUCUUUCUUCCUAUCUAAUCCUUGAUCUCUGGUCUAUUAUGAAUUCAAAUAUGUCUAUCUAUGAAUUUCAUAGACCUAUGGGCACACAUCUCGAACCACCAAAAUCUUCAAAGCCUAUCAUAGCAUCUAGUUUUGAGUUAGACCCCGAAUACAUAGAAUUUAUUCAAAAACAACCUUUCUCAGGAGAAGGUAAGGAAAACCCAUACACACACCUAAGAGAGUUUUAUCGAGUCUGUGACCUCCUUCGCAUAGAAGGCAUGUCCGAUGAGACCCUUAAAUGGAAGCUCUUUCCGUUCUCUUUAACGGGAAAAGCUAGACAUUGGUAUAAACUCAAAGUAGGGAGUGUUCAUGGAGAUUGGAAGGAGUUAUAUAGUAGUUUUCUUUCUAAAUAUUUUCCAAUCUCCAAAGUGGUGGAACUUCGGCGUGAGAUUCUUUCUUUUAGACAAUUGGAAGAAGAAUCUCUUGGCAAAUCAUGGGACCGCUUUAUUAACCUUACUCUCACUGGCCCAAAACUUUCUAUUCCAGAAGAAGUUCUUCUAAUUCACUUUUUUGAGGGCCUUAGUAAGGAAGAUAAGCAAACCCUUCAUGCGGCCUCUGGAGGAUCUUUCCACCACCUAUCCGCUAGUGAAGCUUGGAAUUUGAUUGAUUUAAUGAGCGAAAAGUCUCCUAGCUUUUAUAUCCCUGAGAAAGAGAAAGAACCAGUUCCUAGACAAGAAGAAGAAGUUUCGAUAGCCAGAUUACAACCACUUCAAUCCCAAACUUUAGCUAUCGAUCCUAAACCAUCAAUACCCCAAAAUUCUCCAAGGGAGGAAGGAAUUCCGACCUUAAAUCUUUUAGAUGCUGAUGGUUUAGACUUCUGGUUCUAUAAGAGACCUUCAAGCAGGGAUAAUUCAAAUCAUUGCAAUAAUGUUUCUCUUAGAGAAUGUCCUGGUUCCUAUCAUGAAGAAGUCGAGGAUGACAUAUCAAGUGAAGGAGAGCUAAGCCAUAUAGACAAUUCUAUCUACUCCCCUUCCAUGUUCACAAGUUCUAAAUCCAUCCUUGACCUUAGAGAUCCCUCUUAUCCCUCUUCUUUUCAGUCUCAUGAUGAUCCUAGCAAUUCACCAAGACGACCAAACCAUAGGAGUCAUGAAGACCAUAAGGAUGGCAUGUCAAGUAAUGCCAUAGAAGGAGAGCUAAGCCAUAUAGAAAAUUCUAACACCUCCCCUAUUUUGAUCACAAGUUCUAAAUGGCUAGAAUGUGUAGAAUGGAUGGAUAAGGAAGAAGCCUUAAUGGGUUCUGACUUUGGCUCAAUUUCAAAUAGUGAGUUCUUGACUCCCUUUGAGGACGAGAUUCAUCCAACUAUAGAAGAGGACAUAGGUGAGACCAAUCCAGAAGAAACUCCGAACAUUCAGAUUGGAGACGAAGAUAACAUUAAUGAGCAUGGAAUUUAUUUCAUAGCCACUUUGUUUACUCCAUGCUCAUAUGCAACAUCUUCCCAAUCUAUUGGUCUCUCCGACAUCACCACACUUGAGAUCUCCAACCCCCUCUUCCUUUCUAUUUAUAAAAACUUUAAAAGGGCGGUUGUCGAUGCAUAUGUCUAUAAUAAAUAUUGCAGAUCUCGUUGAGUUGAUCUAGAUAUAGGUUGGCGUCGGAGGGGAAACCACUUCGCCAACAUAAACUGAUGGUUUCCCAAGGACAAGCUUAGUGUCUUAAAAUAAGCAUUCAUCAGAUCGUAACAUGAGCCUUUAAUUAUUUGCAACAUUACCUUGUGUAUUGAGCAUAUAAGGAUAAUUGUAAAAAAAUAUUCCUUCGGUUAUUCUUGUCACUAACCUUUCUAGGAUUGGAGCAAGAAGAUCGGAUGAAUGACAAGCACAAGGUAUGUCCAACCAAUCAUCAUACAACAUUGAAUUAAAUUCAUCCAAACUUGAAUUUUGCAAAAUUCAAGCUUGGGGGAGUACUUUACAUAAAAACAUCCUUUGCCAUGUUGCUAUGCUGGUUGUCCCUACCUUUGAGACAUGCUCAAUUUGUUAAAUACUAAUCACACUACUUCAUCUCCACUUGAGUAGAUCUCUAUAAACGCUGUCAUGCUACCUUUGUCUAUUUACUAGCAAGUGUUGGUUUGGAAGUACUCGCCAUACUUCCAUUGGCAUUUAAAUUAAGCAUGGUGCUUAGGUUAAAUAGCCUUCCUUAAUCUGAUUAGACAUGGAGUCUAGUUGGGUUAUUGAACUAAAAAAAAACUGCUUGAGUAGAUAUUGGUAUAUUUUGUCGGACUAACCCCUGCAGAAAAACUUUCAAUAUCGAUUUGGGAAGUCCUGAGAUAAAUUCACAUCAGAGACGAAGAGAGUGACACAUGAAGUUUUACAAUUUGCAGAAGAAGGACAUAGCUCAUUCAUCAUAGAGAGAUGAUCCAUGGAGGGUGCCACAAACACGACGCACAACCGCUAAGAAAGGAAAGCUUCCACAAGAUGAUACUGUACCAUCACUCUUCGAGCAAGGUAACAUCUUAAGGUACUUGACUAUCACUUUUAUAAGCUUCUCCUUGGUUCUGGCGUUCAUAUAAAUAAAAGAGACAAACGUGUAUGAUUUACAACUCUAGAUUAACCAACCCAACUGAUUCAACAUGUUUAGUCCUUUAAUCCUUGUUCUUAGUACUACCUCCAUGAUCCCACACUCCUAAUCAUAUGAGCUAAAAUGUUACACAUCAAUCAUUGAGAGAUAUAAAGAAAAAGACAUAUACAUAGAUAGAUUAUUUUUCCAUAAGGUUGAGCGAUCUGAUCUGACACAUGUUAUAAGUGCUACACUCAUGAACUUAUCAUCCAUCAACUUUGUCUUGCUCACUAUGCUUAAGGUUAGAGAAAAAGAAAUACACUUUUGGUUCUGUUGGUGUUUUCCACCAACAGGGCCCAUGCACUUGAUCUCUGCCUUGUCUCUAUGAGCAGGUACACUACGAGCACAAACACACUAAGCAAGAUACUGCUAACACCUCACUUCGAACUGCUGGGCAAACGAAGAACAUGGGUGACACCGUAUUAAAAGGUGCAGACGUCAAGGUCCGCACCUGAAUCAAAUGACGCACCUGAAGAAUGAAUACACUGAGAAGUCUUGUCAAGAAGACUUAAAACAUAGAACCCUUGCCGAAAGGUAAGAUUGGUUGUUAUCCAUAUUUAUCCUUUCUGCAUUCCCUUUUCUAUUUAAUUAUUUACUUUCCUUAAAUAGACUAUUAGUUAAUCAUGCUAUCUUGAAAAGAAAAAAAUGUUAAAAAAAUACUAAGCACUAUGUGAGUAUACGAGUGGCAUAAAACCCAUAAGUACCUUCACUGUGGUGGCAUAAAAAUAAAAUAAAUAUUUCUUUUCUACUUUAUAAAAUAAAAAUAUAAAAACAGGGAGUAAUAUUUAUUGAGGAAGCUCAACGUGAUGAAGGCUAGAUAUUUAUGCUAACACUUAAUUAGUUCCACAAGCUUUGUUGUCUAUUUGAGCUCCACAGAAUUUAAGAAUCAAGAAGACUAGCAGACGGAAGACAUUCUAAUCGCUGUCAGAAUGCUGCUGACUUUCAAAUACACCUCUGCCACCUGCUAGCUACAUCAAGAGAAAUUACGUCAAAAUUCAGCUUGGGGGAGAGCACCCCCAUUUAUCUCGCUAAGUAUUUCUACCUAUCUUUUGCUUAGUGUGUUUAAUAAAUAAAUAAAGUGGCUAUGCUAAUCUGAAUCUUAAUAAUAAAACUCUAGCAUGGAUAUGAUGAAUAGUUGCUCUGCCUAAUUUGCAAAUUUGAAGUUCUCUCUCAAGUUUAGACAUAACUGUUAUAAUUUAAAGCUUGCUCUAGAUCUAAACUUGUGGGAUGAAAACUUGAUCUGAAAUCUAAGUUGUUAACGGAUAUGAUAUGGGAAGGUUGAGCUGCUGUUUAUCUAUUCCUAGAGAUGCUAGAAUUCUGGAGAAUUUUAUCUUUGAAAAAUCUUUAAAAUGUUGCAUGAUGAGUUCCUGUAUGAUGAAAGUUUAAAUUCCUCCCACAGCCAUAUAUACAUGCUUGCUAGACUUUGAGCCACACAUUUAUUAUUUACUGCUUAUGAGCAUUGAGUGUGGUCAAGCUGUGUAGACCCUUAGGAGCUUGUCAUGUGGUUAAAUCAAGAUUCACUUGCAUGUUCACUCAUAUAUAUGCUACUUCUACUCCGGAAGUACCAUCCACAUAUAUUCAUCCAUUUCCAUCUCCAAAAUCACCUAAAAAUAUUCUACUCCUAAUUCGGGAGAGAAUAGCCAAAAACAUCUGUGUUUUUACCUUGUGAAAUAAAUGCUCAAGUUAUCUUGCUACUACCACUUGCUAUAUUAUCUCAAGAGAUGAGUGCUCUGAAAAAAAAGAAGAAAAAAAAAGAGAAAAAAAUAAACGAGGAAAUAAAAAGGGGCAAGUGCCCGGAACCUCGAAAGAAAAGAAAAAGAGUGAGACGAGAGGUAAAAAUAGACAAGUGUCCGACAGUAGAAUUAGGGGUAUAGGAUACCCAUCUGAGAGAAAAGAAAAAGAAGAGCAUCUCAUCCUCCUCAUAAAGUUUCAAAAAGCAAGGAAGGUAUGUAUCCCCUCAAAAGAGCAAAAGUAGAAUUAGACUUUCACCAUUGUUAUCACCAUCAUCACCAUACACUAUUCAUUCGCCACACAUGCACAUCUUGAUUUGGCUUAUUGAUUUGUUUCUUUGGAUCCAUGGUUUGACUAUACAAUAAAUGUCUUGUAAGUAUGUAUAUUUUAUCUCCCACCUAUGAGCUCCAGAUAUUAAAGCCUUAUUAGAGUAGGGUGAGAGAGAAGACAAUGUCACUAUCCCUUAU
rnacentral:lncRNA from 1 species